rnacentral:lncRNA from 1 species
UUUUUUUUUUUUUUUUCCUUUUUCCAGAUUAGUUUCUCUUACUUUGUUCUAAUGGAAAAUGAUCAAGAACUUGGAUGUUUAAUCUCUUGAUUUUGUUGUAAAAUUUGAAGCUUCAAUGCUUUGAGGCCUCAUUUCAUACGACAAACUACUGUUCGCCUCAUUUCCUUUAUGCGCCAUGAUUCUCCUCAUUCACACACUCAAAACGCCACAAGUCGUGUCAGAUUAAAUUUACCAAUAAUCUAUCAACGUUAGAGAGUAAUAUCCAUAUCCUCUGUUUAGUAUGCAAUCUGAAUUCUCUUUUUACGAUUCACGAUUCAUUAAAACAAAUGAGAUUACUCAGAAUUCUCCUCUUUUACCUUUGGUUCUUUUGCUUAGAAAAGUCAACCCAUUGACCGGUCAGAUGAACAGCGCCGGUCAAAUCUUCAGGUUCUGCAGAUGAACAAAAGGGAGAAUGAAAUCAAACAAGCAGGAGAAGACGACCCUUUUUCCUUUUCCUUUUUCUUUUGCAUUGUCUUGGGCCGAUAUGUCGGCUGUGGACUCAAAGCAAGGAGAGCGACGGGUCGUUUUAACUUCAAAUCAACGUCAUCAUAUGGGGAAAAAAAAAGAAAGAACCUUUCACAAAAUCCCUCGUCGAAGCAAACCCAAAAGCAAAGAACAAGAUGAACCCACUUUACUGGCACAAAGUUGCUGCGAUUUCUGGUAAAGUGGUUCUCCCUUCGAUUCUCUUGUUGUUGCUUCGCGAUUAUGAUUUUCGAUUUGUGAUUUGAUUUUCGCUUUAAACAGGCGUUGCAGCUCUCGGAUUGGGCACGUACGGCGCUCAUGGUUUCAAACCCAAAAAUCCAGCUUAUAAAGAGGUUGAUUUGCUUCAUCUUUGAUUCGAUUUCUAUGAUUUGUUCUUCGAUUUGAUUUUGAUUGUUGGUUUGGUUUCAACGUUGUGAAGGUUUGGCAAACGGCGUCUCUUUAUCAUUUGGUUCACACAGCGGCUCUUCUUGCUGCCCCGUCGACCAAGAACCCUAACAUUGUAAGUUUGUAGCACCAUCGUUUUUGUAUAUAAAUUUUUUCUGAUCAUUUUGGGCAAAGUUUAUUGAUAAUCCAAACUUUUAACAAACGAUUAUUCAGCUAGUCUUACCUGAAAGUAAGCCCCAAUUUUAAAGUUUUGGGUAUGGUGGAAUUCAAAGCACGAGAUGAUGUUAGGUUUCUUGGAAUGUUCAAACCCACAAAUAGAACUACUUGUAUGUCUAACCCUAACUUUUUUUUUUUUUGGUUUUUUUGUUGGAAAGGAUUACUUUCUCACAAUUUUUUUAUAAUCUACAAUUGCGAAAACAUAAAUGAGGUCUUGAAAACGGUUUUGUUUGUCGUUUUGGUUGAUUAUCAAAUAGUUAUCAAAUGAGACGUUACAUCAAAUGAAACGUUACAUCAAAUGAGACGUUACAUCAAAUGAGACGUUGCAUCAAAUGAGACGUUACAUUGUAGUUUAGGUUGGCAGAUAUUAAUAUUGAGGCUUAACUUACAAGUCUAGGUUCUCUUUAGAAGGACAAAGGAAAUAAAAAGGUCUUAGCAUAUGUUAGGUAAAAUAUUACACAAAUAGAAAUACAGAAAAAUUAGUACAAACACAAUUAUGCAUAGGUCAAUGUAAAUGGUACUCAUUCACAUCACAUGUUUACAAAUAUUUUAUAAGAUAAAGUUACUCAUCCAAAAUUCUCCUACUAUUUACUUUGAUUGGUCCUUUGAUUCUUUUCCCUCCUUUUUUCUUUUGUGACAGUUUGGAGGCCUUUUGACGGCUGGAAUCCUUGCAUUUUCUGGCACGUAAGUUACCCGUUUUCUUUUCCAUCUUCUAUGUCUGUUUGGAUCUCUUCUUUUUGCCUCUAAGUUCCUAUGAUUUAUCUUUUACAACAUUUCAUAUUCAAAAUUUCCCCUACAACAUUUUAUUGAAAUGAUAAAAGUAUCCCGCAGAAUACUUGAUCGACCGAGUGUAAUUAGAUGAAAAAGAAUACAUAGUAAGAGAUCGAUAAUGAAGUGUUUAACACAAAAGCAUUUGAUAAAAUAAACCACUUAUUGGUUACUUUUUUGCUAAGCACUUAGUGAAGUACUUUUCCAUUUCAAAUAUAUCCAAAAUUUGUAUACUAGAUUUGAUUUCUGUUACUUUUAUUGGGCAAAGAUGGCUCUGGAUUCAAUUUGAGAUCUCCACCAGUUUCCUUCCUUUUGGCAAUUCUCCACAUUGAACUCAUCUGUUUGUUAUGUUUAAGAGAUGAAUAAGAAUGUGUGGUUGCAACUUGCAUUGCAGGUGCUAUACUGUGGCUCUUCUUGAAGAUAGAAAGUAUUCUUCUUUAGCUCCAUUUGGUGGCUUUGCUUUCAUUGGUGCAUGGGCUAGCUUGCUCUUCUAAAUUUUCCCAGUUCCAAUAUGUUUACAAUCGUUCAAUGCUUUUCGCUAAAGGUAUCGGAUUCUUGAUUCAAUCCAUAUGUUGUGUUUAAGAUUUUAAAAAUGGGAAAUGAUCCAGGUGCAGUCUAAAUAGAGUUAGCUUAUGCCAUUUUCUUUGUAAAAGGUUCAGAAUAAAUAUAGCUCAUUGAGCAUACUUUAUUUUUGGGCAAUCUGUACUUUAUACUUUAUAAAAGAGUAGUAAUACUUUUGUUUUUUUAAGUAUGCCAAUUAAACUUUUAGAAGAUGUGUAAGGGAAGUUUGUUUUUGUAAUCAAUUUUAUUUUUAAGGGUUAAAAUCCAAAUGUUUGGUAUAAACUAAUGUUAAAUUAAAAUCAUGAGUUUAUAAUUCUGAUAUCUGUUUAUUGCUUAGGGAUUAAUUGAUAAAUUUGAUACAAUUUCAAAUUUUAGAGCUUUCGAGCUUUUGACACCAAUUAUGUGAGUUGAGCUAAGUUCGGUUUAACUUAAAAAGAAAAAUAAUUAUUUAAAUAAUAAAAAAUUGAGAGUGAUAAAGAUAUAUCAAAAUAGAGUAAAAAUCGAAAUUAUGCUCUUAUUUUGUUGUGUUUUUUAGUACAUUGACGUAUGGAGUUCAAAUCACGACGGUAAAUCUAAUUACGUACGUUUAAGAAUUAUAAUAAACGUUAUUAAGUUAAAUUAAAAAAAUGCUUAAAUAGAAAAAUUAAAUAAAAUAUUUAUAAUAUAAAAUUCUAUCAAUUUUCUUAUAACUUAUAAAUAUUUGGGUCAUUUAUUUUAACUUUGGAUUUCUUUCAAUAAACUUUUGAAUUUUUUAAAUACAGUCUAUUUAUUCAACUUUUAAAAAAUUUAAACUAUUCAACACAAAAUAGAUUGUCUGAAGUUUUGUAAACGAUAAAAUCCAACUUUAUAUUAAUUUUGUUUUUAAAUGUUAUGUGAUGGAUUUAUUAUUAUUAAUUUGUGGUGAUUUGAUCAAACCUCUUGCUAUUAUAUAGAAAAUUAAAAGGUUUUAGGUAUAAAUUAAAAAAGGUUGGAACUAAAUACAUACUAAACUUUAAAAGAUUAAUAAUGAUGGUUCUUUUUUAUGGAAAUUUAGUAUAAGGCUAAUAGUGUGUUUAGUUCUUUUUUAAAUUAAAAAAAAAAAGCUAAAAAUGAAGUUGAGAAAUAAUUUAUUUUAAAGUAAACAUUAAGAGCCAAAAUUUGAGAAAAUUAUAUAUAUAAAUUACGUAUAUAAACAUUUAUAAAAAAUCUAACAAAACAUAUAUAAAUGUUUAAAUUUUAAACUCAUUCUUUCCUUGAAAUACAUUUAGACGUUCCACUCGGAUAAUUUGGUAAAUUCAACCUCCAAAGUGCGACCUUAUUUGCAAAAAUAAUUUAGGACUAAAUUUGGAAUUAAAAAAAAGAAAAGAAAAACAAGAAGGGAAUGCUGAGGGUGAGUAGGCUUGGCCACACUGGAUCACUCCUAUCUCCGGCCGGAGUCUCCCGCUUUCCCGCUUUUCAGCUUUCAUUUCUUUCACACUCCGAACUAUAAGCCCUAAACCCUCAAAUCCAUUUCUUCUUCUUCUUCUUCUUCAAUUGUUCUGUGGAUUAUGCACCAAUGUUUUCUCCCGGGACGAAGAGACGCAAUUUAAGCUCUCGAACAGACCGUACUUCCGCUCCACCCACCCAGUCUGAUUCUCCGAUUACACCACUCUCAGCCAUCCGUAACCCACCUCUCGGUAAUCUGGUGCCCAACCGUCCCGGCACCGGCACUCCCGCUCCUUGGGCUCCUCGCUUAUCCGUCCUUGCAAGGUAUUACUACCACCAUUGCUGUAUAUGUCUUUAGCUUGUCAGAGCUUUAAUUUUACUCAUUUCAGUGUGUCUACUCAGUUUUUAUAUUUGGUUCAUUGUCCACAGUGGUAACUAAGUUCGUUUGUGCGAGUUGUAGGUAACAAGGUGAUGAAAUCCAAUAGUUAUUCGUUGAAAUGAGAUUACCCUCUUGGUGGUUUUUUUUUCUUUCUCUUUUUAUUCCCGUUUAUUUGGUAAUUGGAGUGGGUUGAUGGCUAUCUUUAGUGGUAGUUAGAUAAUUGUUAGAACAAGAAUAAUCUGACCAAGUAUAAAUUAUAAUGUGCCUCUUGUUUUUUGAUUUUCCUUGUUGAUUUGGUGUGGUUCGAGAGUGCUUGUAAAAUGUGUAUUAAGGAUUUAAUGGUUAACAAUUUCUGUUUUAAUAGAAAGGUGUUUUCACUCAUUUGCUCAUUGGUUGCUACUUGUCUUAUAAGUCAUAACUUGUUUCCAUGUGGAGAAUGUUUAAUUAUAUCUUUUUUAUCUUCCUAGAAUUUCACCAGUUAAUAGAAGUGAUAAGGAAGAUGAGACAGAUCCAGUUAAGCCUGUCUAUGUUGGAGAGUUUCCCCAAGUGGUGCGUGAUGAGCAGGCUAGUCUUAUACAGCAGUUUGUUACAAGUAAUGAUGUUCAUUGCAGUAAAAAGUAGUUUUUAGUUCUUGAUGCUCCUAUUUUCUUUGCAUCAUGACUUGUUUUCUUCCCUUUUAGGUGGUGGAAGCAUGUCUGGUGGAAUGGAUGCCAAAACAUCCCUUGCUUGGAUUAUAUGCCGAGACAAGCUUUUUCUUUGGACAUACUUGUUACCCGUGGCCACCAUGAAGUGUGUUGUUCGUGAACUUCCAAAACACAUUUUAGAUAGCAAAGAUAUUGGCAGAAAUAACUAUGAUCAUUGGUUGCUCAGCAUUGUUAAUUGGGAUAGCCAAAGUCGAAGUUUAAGAAAGUCAAUUAAACACCAAAAUUCUGUUGGUGUUAUAAUCUGUAAUAAAAAAACAGGAGCUGUUGCGUAUUGGCCUGAUAUCUUUUCAGAUGGAGAAACUGCUCCAGUUACCUGUCUAACAUCUUCCCAUGAGCCAGCUCCAAUUUCAUCAUUUUAUGAUGGGAAGAUCGCUUCCCACAGAAAUCAAAGUAUGAAUAGACCAAGGACAUUCAACUCUUUGAUUGCCUCUGCGGUUCCUGAUUCCCAAUAUGUUUGUAUUGCCCUUGCCUGUAGUUCAAAUGGCCAGCUUUGGCAGUACCACUGCAGCCCUAUGGGAAUUCAGUGUACUAAAGUUUCUCAGGAUAUAUGUGGUCUUCACAGCCAAGAGGACGGUAGCUCGCAAUAUCUUGUGAAUGAUGGGUAUCCAAGGUCUCUAACUUGGUCUUGUUCUCGGCUUCAAUCAGAUAAAUUUAACAGGAAGUUCUUGCUUUUGACAGAUCAUGAGAUACAGUGUUUUUGUCUUAAACUUUUUCCUGAUGUACAAGUGUACAAGCUCUGGUCGUAUGAAAUUGUUGGUACAGAUAAUGAUUUGUGCAUUAAAAAAGAUUUAGCUGGUCAGAAAAGGAUCUGGCCUCUUGAUUUGCAGGAAGAUGAAGAAGGUGCAGUUAUCACUAUUUUAGUUGCUACACUCUGUAAGGAUCGCAUUAGUAGUUCUAGUUAUAUACAAUAUUCCCUUCUUACCUUGCAAUACAAAUCUGGGGCAGAAAUAGAUGCUAGUGGUGAUAAGAGGAUAUUGGAGAAAAAAGCCCCAAUACAAGUAAUAAUUCCAAAAGCAAGAGUAGAAAAUGAUGAUUUUUUGUUCUCCAUGAGACUUAGGGUUGGGGGCAAGCCUUCGGGAUCAGCCCUCAUUCUUUCUGGUGACGGAACGGCAACUGUCUCCCAUUACUAUAGAAGCUCCACGUUGUUGUAUCAAUUUGACUUACCUUAUGAUGCGGGUAAAGUAUUAGAUGCUUCAGUUCUUCCAUCUACAGAGCAUGGUGAAGGAGCUUGGGUUGUACUGACUGAGAAAGCAGGAAUAUGGGCAAUACCUGUAAAAGCUAUUGUCCUUGGUGGAGUUGAACCUCCUGAACGAAGUUUGUCACGCAGGGGAAGUUCAAAUGAACGAUCAGUGCAAGAUGACACUAGAAGCCCCAAUUUUUCUGGCAACAUUGCUAGUAACCGCAGUUUUGAUGUACAGGAUGUUGUGGAUAGAAAAAAGGCUACUUUGGCUGGAAUUGCACAUCGAACGGUUCGAGAUGAAGAAUCAGAAGCUUUGCUACGCCAACUUUUCCAUGAUUUCCUUUCAUCUGGUCAAGUAAAUAGCUCUCUUGAAAAGCUGAAGAAUUCUGGUGCAUUUGAUAGGGAGGAUGAAACAAAUGUGUUUACACGGAUGAGCAAGUCAAUUGUUGAUACCUUAGCUAAACAUUGGACUACAACAAGAGGUGCUGAGAUUGUGUCGAUGACUGUUGUUUCUACUCAGCUGAUGGACAAACAGCAGAAACAUGAAAAAUUUCUUCAGUUUCUUGCUUUAUCGAAGUGCCAUGAAGAGUUGUGUUUGAGACAAAGUAUGUUUCAAUUCAUUUUUAAUGCUAUUUCUCUGCAGUAUAUCAGUAGAUAUUUAGUAUUUACUUUUAAAUUGAGAACCUUUGUUAAUUUUCACCUCAUAUGCGUUUUUUGUUGGUAUGUUUCUUAAACUGGCAUAAAUGGUCUAGAUGCUUUUUCUGUCUUCGGAUGUUUAUUCUAGGGCAAUGAGUUUCUAUUUCUGAUUAUUCUUGGCAUUGGUUUGGACUCACAUCGGAAUUGGCUUGAUUUGGGACUCAAAAUUUUGUUCUUGGAUUGGGAAGGUAAUUUGUGAAGGUAAAAUAUCAAAUAUAAAUUAAUGAACCUGAAAUGUGGUCCUGAUACAUGCAGGAAAUUCUUUGCAAAUUAUACUGGAGCAUGGAGAAAAGCUUUCUGCCAUGAUUCAGUUAAGGGAACUGCAGAACACAAUUUGCCAAAACCGUUCAACUGGACUUGGCUCCUUGACUUCUAAUUCAGAAACUCCAACGUCAGGUGCUCUAUGGGAUCUUAUUCAGUUUGUUGGUGAACGAGCUCGUCGAAACACUGUUCUUCUAAUGGACAGAGAUAAUACUGAAGUGUUCUACAGUAAAGUUUCUGAGCUAGAAGAAGUAUUUCAUUGUUUAAACAAGCAGCUAGAUUUUGUGGUAAGUGCAGACGAAUCAUAUGUGGUCCAGAACCAGAGAGCUUGUGAACUCUCUAAAGCAUGUGUUACCAUCAUGCAUGCAGCUCUGCACUAUAAAAACGAGCAUCAGUUAUGGUAUCCACCAUCUGAAGGCUUAACACCUUGGUAUUGUCAACUGGUUGUGCGGAAUGGGCUAUGGCGCAUUGCUUCUCUCAUGCUUCAGCUUUUAAAUGAAGUUUCUGAGCUUGAUAUGUCUGCAAAAUCUGAUUUAUAUUGCCACCUGGAAUUAUUAACUGAAGUUCUUCUUGAGACUCAUGCUGGAGCUGUCACUGCAAAGGCAGAGCGUGGGGAAAAAACCGAAAGUCUUUUACAUAAAUUUUGGAGUAGAAGGGAUUCACUCCUCAGCUCUCUUUAUCAAAGAAUAAAAGAUUCUGUGGAAGCUGAGCAUAAGGUUUUUUUUCUUGCGUGACGUGUGCUUGUGACCAAGAUUUUGGAUCUGAAUUCAUAUUGAACGCAUGGUUUUGCAGGAUUUUAGGGGAGAUUUGGUGGAGCAAAAGAUAGAAAGCCUCAGGAAGCAUUCUUCACGUCUUUUAUCUGUUGCAAAACAGCAUGAAUGCUACAGCAUUCUAUGGGAAAUUUGCUGUGAUCUUAAUGAUCCGGAGCUACUCAGAAAACUUAUGGUAUGUAGUUCUGUAAUUUCAUUGCUUCAUUUGAUUUUUGCAAAUUUAUAUAUUAUUUUUUUAUAAUAUAUGGUGCUUGCAUUUGAUUGUUUAUCAUGCAUGGUGCUGCAGCAUGAGAGCAUGGGGCCUAAAGGAGGGUUUAGCUACUUUGUUUUUCAAAAACUUCAUGAAAAUAAACAGUUCUCCAAGCUUUUAAGACUAGGAGAAGAGUUUCAUGAAGAACUCUUGAUUUUCCUGAAGGAGCAUCCCGAACUUUUGUGGCUUCAUGAGCUGUUCCUCCAUCAAUUUUUCUCUGCAUCAGACACUCUCCAUGCAUUAGCUCUGUCUGAAGGUGAUGCACCUGUGGUCCCUGAAGUUGGGACAGAACUUGAAUCUGACCAAUCUAAUUCGGAAUUAAGAUUGGCAGAUCGAAAACGUCUUUUAUACCUCUCGAAGAUAGCUUUAAUGGCAGGUAUUACUCAACUUUGGUCAUGCAUUGAUCCUAUCCUUUCCAUUGUUUGUGUCCUUCCUCAAGAUCUUAACAUAUUUAUUUGUGCAUUGGUAUAGAGCAUUUUUUUUAUUUUAAAUAAGAAAACUUCCUUAAACAUGAAAAGGGAGGAAUCUCUCUCUCUCACGUGCUAGUCCAUCUUUUGGCCGGUUAGCUUACUUCAUUAAAUAUCAUAAUUCAUAUCCCUUAAAACAUUAAAUAUCAGAGUCGAUCUUUCCAGGAUUACACAUUAGAUGUUACUUAUAAGUUAUCCCUACCUCCAUGCUCGUAGGAAUGUAUUCUCUAUCUUAAACGCAUGUGUAUUGCCAAGGUGAUUCAAGAGUUUAUCUCUAUGCUGUGUCAUAUUAGGAAAUGCUGAUGUGGUGAUUAAAAUGUUUAUCUGUAGUAUUUCCAUCACUUGAUUGAACCUGAUAUGCAAUGGUGAUUGGUAGCUUCUGAAACCUAAUUGUUUUUAUUGAUAUUGUUUUUCUUAUUUAGCAGCAGCAGGUAAAAAUGGUGAGUAUGAGAGUAAGUUGAUGCGCAUUGAGGCUGAUGCAAAGAUACUUAAGUUACAGGUCGGUCUUCUUUCUGUGAUGGUAUAACUUGAUUGAACCUGCUUAAAUGUUGACGUCUUUGUCACCUCUGAUUUUUCAAUUAUUUCAUCUCAUCUUAUUCAUAUUAUAAACACACACACACACACAGUAAUAUUCUUAUAAACUUUUUGUUGAAUUGUUCACUUUUUUCUUAUUCUGUUCUUAAAACUACAGAACUAAAUUUUGCAAAUGUCCAAUACUAAAGUUAUUUAACCAAUAGAUAUCGAAGAAGAGAAGGACUCAUCAAGAAUUACUUGUCGUUCUGGAAAGAAAUAGUUAGUAGGUUUGAUAUUAAAAAAGUGCUGGUCUGCCCUUUUAAUUUAAGCAUGGAUACUACUACUCUAAGCAUUUUAAUGUGAUUGGCUUAGCUGUGUUAAACAUGAUAACUUUGAGGCAUCAAGCUCUUUUUUCUUUUUCAUUAGUUUUUCCAACUUUGGUUUAUAGACAUAAUCUCAUCCAUUGCCUGGUUGUUUCACCUGAUUCUAGGAAGUCAUUUUAGAUCUCUAUCAUGCUGUCGAAACAGAGCAGCAGCUUGACCGUGAACUCCUUCAUCCUGAUCGCCUUAUUCAACUGUGUCUCAAAGCCAAAGAACCAACCCUCUCGUUGAUGGCUUUCGACAUAUUUGCCUGGACCAGUACUUCAUUUCGUGAAAACCACCGAAAACUCUUGGAAGAGUGCUGGAAAAACGUUGCAGAUCAGGACGACUGGAAUGAACUUUAUCAAGUGUCUGUAGCUGAAGGAUGGAGUGAUGAAGAAACGAUAAAAAACUUGAGAGAGACAACUUUGUUCAAAGCUUCAAGUAGAUGCUAUGGAGAUGGAGCAACAGAAGUGUUUGGAGAAGAAGGAUUUGAUGUGGUUUUGCCUCUAAGACAAGAAAAUCUUGAAGGUGGUUCUAUACUGAAAGAUUGUUUAGGCUCUGUUGAGGCAAUACUAAUGCAACACAAACAUUUUCCUGAAGCAGGGAAGUUAAUGGUGACUGCCAUUAUGUUGGGAGUGAAGGAUUAUGAUGAUAGAGUGGAAAAUGAUCCGAUUUUGAUGGAUUAAUAUUAGUUUAUGUCAUUUUCCAUUCGAUGAAAGUUGUAGGCCAAUUGUGUUUUCUAUAAAACUCCAUCUAAGUUUUGGCUGCUACAUAUAUUUUCUCUUUGUCAUCCCCCAAAUUUUGUAUAUUUUUAGAUUUCUAAGAGAACAAUAUAUCAUUGAGACCGUGUUCUUUUUUUCUUUCUCCAUGAAGUCAAAUGAUGUAGAAAGUUUGUAUUGAAAAACAAAAAGAGAAUGAUAAGAGAUCAUACGAUUGGAUUUGUUAUCGAGAGGUUAAAACAAAGAUUAGAAGUAAGAUUGGGUGUGGGACAAAAGUAAUGAUUUGCUUCUCUUUAAUUGAAAAUUUCACUCACAUUUUACUUUUCCCAACUCAGACUAAAUAAAUUUUAAGAAACAUGCAUAAAUAUUUUACUAAAAUAUACAUAAUUAAUUAUCAAACAUUCAACUCAACAAAAUCGAUAUUUUAUAUAUAAAUAUUGUGAUCGUAAAUUCAAUAGUAUUAGUAAAAAAUGUCAAUGUUGAUGAACUCUUUUUAAAAAAUUAUAAUAACAAAAACAUUAAUAUUAUUAUUUACAUUUUUUUUUACAUAUAAUAGGGUCGGUUAAUAGUUAAAUAUAUAAUUUUUAUUUAAUAACUAUUUAUUGUUUUAUUAUGUUAUAGCGAUAAAUUUUAUUUCUGAACUUUGUAAAAAAAAUUUAUUCAACUUAAAAUUUUAGUUUUUAUUUUCCUUGGUAAAAAAAAUUGGUGUAAUAUUAGGAUGAUCAAUUAGAGUAUUUUUCAACUUUUUUUUUUAAUGCUCACAAGGUAUUUGUAAAACAUUUCAACUGUUCAAGUAUUUUUUAAAACAGAAGUUUAUGGUUUCUACUGAAAAUUAACAGUAAAAGUAUUUUUGAGUUCUUUUUAUUGAGAAUUUUUGGAAAAACAGCCAUUUUCAUGGAUAUAUAUAUAAUUUAACCUAUCAUUUGCCCCUUGAAAAUUGUAGGUAUAGACUAAUCUUUGGGGGGAUUUUUAAAAAUAAGUGAAAUACCAAAAAAGCCCUUGAAAACCUAAAUCCCAAAAACUAUUUAGUAAUCUUUAAUAAAUUAUUUCUAAAAUUUUCUUUAAUAAUCUUUUCAUUACAAUAUUUUAAUCAAUUUAUUUAGUAAUCUUUUCAUUAAAAUAUUUUAUAAAAUUUAUUUUUAAAAAUAUUAUCAAUAAAUUUAUUUAAAGGAAAGUUUUAAAUAAAUUUAUUUUAAUGAAAGAUUUCAAUAAAUUUAUUUAAUUAUUUUUUAUUAGUUUUUUAAUAAAUUUAUUUCAUAAUAUUUUCGUUAAAGUUUUUAACAAAUACAUUUAAUAAUGUUUUCAUUAAAAUAUUUUAAUAUUUAUUAAAUAAGCAUUUCAUCAAAAUAGUUUGAUAAAUUUAUUUAAUGAAAGAUUUCAUUAAAAUAUAUAAAUUUAUUUAUAAAUUUUGUAUAAAAUAUUUUAAUAAAUUUAUUUAAUGAAAUAUUUUCAAUAAAAUUAUUUAAAGGAAAGAUUCAAUAAAUUUAUUUUAAUGAAUUCAAAAAUUAUUUUAGUGAUAAAUUUCAAAAAAAUUAUUAACAAUUUUUUAUUAAAGUAUUUUAAUAAACUUUUCAUUAAAAUGUUUUAAUAAAUUUAUUUAAUGAAAUGGUUUCAAUAAAUUUAUUUAAAUAAAAUAUUUUCAAUAGGUUUAUUUAAAAGAAAGAUUUUAAUAAAUUUAAUUUAAGUAAAGAUUUCAAUAAAUUUAAUUUAAGUAAAGAUUUCAAACAAUUUAUUCUAGUGAAAUAUUUCAAAAAAAUUAUUUAAUAAUAUUUUAUUAAAAUUCUUUAAUAAAUUUAUUUAAUGAGUUUUCCUUUAAAAUAUUUUAAUAAAUCUAUUUAAGGAAAAUUUUCAAUAAUUUUAUUUAAAGGAAAAUUUUCAACAAAUUUAUUUUAACGAGAGAUUUUAAUAAAUUUAAUUUAAUGAGAGAUAACAUUAUUUAAGUGAAAACGUCAAGUAAACGUCCACUAUACGUAACACGAAAAAAACGUCAAGUAAAAUCUCCACUAUAUUUGACGCGAAUAAACUGUCAAAUAAAUCUCUACUAUAUUUGACGCGAAAACCAUGUCAUAUAAAAGUUAACGUAAAAAUUUUCUUUUUUAAAACCAUACCUGACAUGUUUUUUAUGUCAAGUUAAUGUUCACUACUUUUAACCCGAAUAAAAUGUCAAGUAAAAUCUACUUUAUACUUGACAAAAAAAAAAAAAAAAAAAAAACGUCAAAUAAAGCUAACAUAAAAUAAUUAAAAAAAAUUCGUGAAAACUUCAUAUUUUUUAAGACUAUACUUGACGUUUUUUCUUUAACAUAGUUCAUACUUGACGUUUUUUUAAUAAAAACGUCAAGUAUGUAAAAGUUGCUAGCGUCAAGUAAACCCAUUUUUGUAGUAGGGUACAUAUCUUAUAGAUAAAGCUAACAAUUUCCUCUCAGUCCAAAUUAACAUCUUAUACAGUCCACUCCAAAUGCUUGCCAUCAUCAUAUAAUCAUUUCAGUCUAUAGAGUCAAUUUACUCAUACCACUGCAUAAAUCAACCAUUAGCAUAAUGCUCCCUCGAACAAUUACAUUUAUACAUAAACAUCAUCCAUCUCAGUUCAAUUGAUUCAUCAUUCUCAUAAUCAUUAAAAUCCACGUUUAGCAUUCAAUUUCUUUUAAUCAUUGAAAUCUACACAUGUGUCCAAUAGUAAAAAUCUCUUACCUCGAUAUUAGCAUCAAAUCCUUGAUCGACAGUCACAAUUUGAGAUAAAUCCAAUAAUUAUUCCACAAUUUACCAAUUAUACCUUCAAGGAAAAAAAACCAAACUUACAGCCAAUUGUAAAAUUCCAUUACGAUCUAAAGAAUGGCUAUUUGGGUGUGUACUAAACCCACACAAACUCACCAAAAGGCUCAAGAAGGUUGAAGUGGCUUGGCUUAAAGAGGGCUGCUCAAAAUGGCUCGCAAUGGAAGAUGGUCCGCUCACGCGGCUGAGGGAGGAAAGUACGGGCUCGGCUAACUUCCCGUGGCAUCGUCAGACCGAGCAGAAACUGACGGAGACUGGUUUGAAAACGGAGAAGAAGAAGAGGGAGUUGAUGGGAGAAAGAUAGGAGGAGGGAGAUGGUGGCCGACAGUUGUGAAUUGAAGAAGAAGAUGGUGAAUAGGAUGAGAAUAGUAUUAUUUUAGUAGUAAUAAUAAUAAGGUAUGGGUUUGGUGGGGGAAAAUGGGGGACAAAAAUGCUUCUUCUUCUUUUUUUAUUUUUUUUUCACAUAAAUUUUUAUCUCCUUUCUUAAAAUUUUCAUAUGAUUUUCAAGUUAUUAACGAUACAAUGUUCAUUCUUCUUUUAAAAUUUCAUUACAAUCGGUUGGAAUACUCUAAACAUAAUUAAAAAUUUUCUUUUAAAAAUUUUAAAAUUUCAAGAGUGGAUUCUUUUGUAUGGUUAAAAAAACACACAUGAAUAAAUAAUGUUAAUAAUUUUUUUUUUUUUUGUUAAAAUUUGGAAUUUCAAAAGUAGAGUAUUAACAAACAAAUAAUUAUUUUAAAAUUUUAUUAAAAUCUUUUGAUAUAUUCUAAACAACAAUAAGAUAUUUUUGUAAAAUAAAUAAACAAAUAGAAUAGAGGUUGAAAAAGAUUUUAACAAAAUUCUAAAACAAUUAUUAACAUUUAUUAUUAUUAUUUUUUUAUUGGAGUGUGUCACUUGAAGAGACAGAUAUUUUAUGAAGAGGAAGAGGAAGAAAGUGGGAAGUGUGUGAUUGGGGGAGAUGCUUUUCUUCUUUGGCUUAGAGAGAAAUUACAUAAAAAAAAAAAAGCAAAGCUGAAGAGAGAGAGAAGAAAAAGGAUGCUUUUCUCUUUGAUUCACUUGAAACAAUCAUAUAAAAAUAAUGAAAGAACUGACAGUGACCACUUAUUUUUAGAGAAUUUGAAAGACUGGAAGGCAAGAAAGGGAAAGGACUAAAGGCAACUAAGAAACCCAAAAGAGAGAAUAGCUUUUGGAAAAACAGAAGUUGAAAAAAAAUAAAAUGAUCAAAAUCAAAACCCUCACACUAGACAGAGGAGAGAACUCGAAAACAAAUGAAAGAAUGUAUUGUUAAUGAAGAAAAGGAUAUCGUGCCAAGAAAGUUGAAAGGGUGAGUUUCUUAUUGUGGGUAUCGUGCGAAGAAAGUUGAAACGUGAAGCUCCAAGACGCAGCGUCGUGGAAGCCAUUUGCGACGUGUUGCAGCGUACGUUGGAGAAAUUUUCUUAGUCGUUGACGUGAGCUACGUUGGGGAAAGUAUCAUCGACGUGCCUGCCGACGUCCUCAACGACAUCACAGAGUUGGUAAGAAUUUUCGGCGACGCAUUGCCACAUUGGAGAAAAUCUUAUUUCUUACCAUGAAUUAAUAAAAAAAAUUGAGAAAAAGAAAAAGAAAAUCAAAAAAUAAUUAAGAAAAAGAAAAACUAAAGCAGUAGAAAUAAAUGAGAAAAGGGAAAAGAAAUUCAAUAGAAAUAAUUGAGAAAAAGGAAAACGAAACCAAUAGAAAUACUGAAAGAUUUUUUUCCAAUCAUUUCUUAUACAAUGUGAAACUUUUUAGAACUAGAAAUAGAAAAUAUUACCAAACUGGUAUAAAUGGUCUUUUUUUUGUUAUAUGGUUAAAUGCAUCAAUAUUUAUUUUUUGGGUUUCUUUAAUUUAUUAUUUCAUAAUGUUUAGGUCAAAAAGUGUUUUUCUUUAAUGAAUUUCCACCGCAUUUUAUUUUUCUUUAAAAUACAAUUUAACUUCCUAGGUUAUUAUCUAUCAUUAAAAAAACAUUAUAAACUUGAUUUGAGCAUUAAUAGAGUAUAAUAAAUCUUUCAAAUUGUAAAAAUGAAAACACUCUAAAUAAUUAAAUAAAUUUUCCUAAUAAAAUAAAAUGAAGAAAGGUUAGAUACUUAAACUAUAAAAAUGAAAUUUCAAUGAACUAAUUUAGAAAUGAAAAAAGGUAGAAAAAUCCAAACAAUGAGAUAUGUUUAGACCAAUGUUAGACUGAAUUACAAAAUUUGUUGCAAUUAUAGACUACCAAAUAAAUCUAUCCUAAUAAUCCCUAAACAGUAGAGGUUUUGCAAUAAUACCCCUUAAAUUAUGAAAUUGUUAUCUCCACCACCAAUGUUUUUAGGAUUAGGGUUUAAUUAUACUGAUUUUGUAAAUUUAUUGAAAUAUUUUAUAAAAAAAUAUAAAAAAAAAUGAUAUAUAGUUUUUUAUUUUUCUCAAAAUAAAACUAUCAUAAAAGAAUUCCUGUCCCUCUAAAAAGGUAGGAGAGAGAAAAAAAAAGUAGAAGACAUGAGAGAAAAAAAGGAGAUAUGAAUUCUAAGUUUGGAAAAUUUUGGUUGAUUAGAAAAGAAGGCAAGAAGGAGAAAAAUAGAGUGUGAAACUAAAUUUGGUUGCUUUGGCCUCUCAUAUUCUAAUUUUAAGUUUCCUUACUUUAUUUCAUUUUCAUUUCUUUUGUAUCAUAAAUGUUCGUUCAACAAAAAAGCUAAAAUAAUAUGAUAGAAACCACAAACCAACUCUAAAUUUUUUUUAUAGUUUUUGUCAUAUUUGUAAAUAAUAUUUUUUCUUUUUAUAUUUAAAAAAUGCCCAUAUUUAAAUGUAAAUCAAACUAGUUUUUUUCCAAACAUAUUAGUUUCCAGAACUCCAAAAAUUUAUGAGAACUAAAAAUUAGCCAUUUAUGAUGAUCUAGUUUUUUUCAAUUAAAUUAACUCGAGUUUUCUUCUUUUAGGGAUUAGACAUUAAUAUUUAAUAACUCCAUCCUAGUUAGAAUUUAUGAUGAUCUAAGAUGUACUUUCUUUUCUUUCUUUUUUUUUUGUUUGAAGUGAUCUUUUUAUGAAUGGACAUGUGAUUUGUCGUUUUAGUACAAUAAAAGACGGUAGGGUUUGAACCAUAAGCCUCUUAAUCGUUAAAAACUUAUAUGUUAUUUGAGUUAUACUUGUUUUGGUAAAUGUGCAAUAUGUUGGUUAAAUCUUAACAAAAAAUCUUUUUUUGAAAAAAAAUUAAUCAUUUCCAAUUAAGAGAUUAGAUGUUUGAAUCUUCGACUUCGCAUAUUAUAUUGUUUGAAUCAAAGAAAAACAAGUAUUGAUUUCAAAUUUUAAACUAUUAAGACCAUCUUUAUCGAUUUGUAAUCAAAGUUGGUGUAAUUAUAAUGAGAGAUUUAAUUAAUGGAUCAAUCAUAAUAUGCUUCAAUAAGAAAAAAAAGGUCACAAUAAUCAUUCAGCUAAGCUAAUGAAAUUCAUAAUCAUACAUUAAUAUCAUACAUUAUAACACUUAUAAUAUAAACAUGAUUAACCUAGGGUGACAUCCGUAAAACAUUUAAAUAGCAAUUAAACUUGUAAAAUUGGUCCAUAGGAAAAAAUAAAGCAAAAAAAUUUAAUAAUGAAGUUUUACAAAUAUCCUAAAAUUGCUUACAAAAUUCAAAAACAAGUCUCAAAACCUUCAAAAAAGAAAAAAAAACUUCGAACCGAGCCCAACCGAAGCCAAUUUUCGUGAACCGACGUAGAGCGCAUCUGAACUGCCAGUCGAGCCGUGUACGAGCUGUCAAUUUCUCCUCGAUGCUUGCUGACCUCACGCUACCGUCCUCGUGAUGUCAGCCUUCUUCAACCUCCAGAGGCUGCACGAAGGUUUUUCCACCUCGAUUUAUGUGUUGUGCUGAAAAAUGAAUAAAUGAAGGCCUUUCGAUGGUCUAUUUUACGAUCUAUUAGACUUAAAUAUGAAUUAGUAAAUACGUUUUCUAACUAAAAUAACUAUAAUCUUUUAGAACCUCUAAUACAAUAUUUAAUAUUUUAAUUCUUUUUUAAAGAAAAUAAAAAGUUACAUUGUAAUUUAUUAUAUUUAAUUGUUAAGUUAGAAAGUUAGCUAAUCAUGAAAAUGGUUAAUGUAGUGGUGCUUUUUCACUGAAUUGAGUGACUUCACACUGAAGGAAGCUAAGGGUCUAUCAUCGAGUGGAACUACUUGCUCGGGGGUGCGCACUCUUGCCUUUCCCAUAAGUCUAUUAUCCCUUUUUAUUUUUUUGAUCGGUGAACAGAUGCCUUUUUUUCUCUCAUAUUGGCUUGGGUGCCCCACCAGAAUCUGUACGGCUCAGUGGGAUUCUUCUUUUUUUUUUUCCCUUUCCCUCCGCCUGAAUCCCCGGCCUUCGAGCCCUUGAUAAAGGGCCUGUACGUCCACUUCCUCCUCCUCCCCCUGUGCUUUCUCCAAGUCCAAUUUUGAGCCUCAGUUCAUACGUACCCAGUCAAUAUUCUUUUGAACCUCUUUAAAUGUGGCCUCUUUAUUUUUUAUACCAACCACCAAUUUCAUGGACACACACACAUAUAUAUGAGCAAAGCUUACUUAAUGAGGAGUUUGCAUCGAGCUCCUGCUGAUCAUGUAUAGAAAUGUGCAUUUUUUUUGUGGUGUUACAUGACAGACGGCCGUUUGCUUUAUUAAUUUAUUUGUUUGUUUUGUUGAAUUCAGGUUUGAAGUAGUUUCCCCUCUACUUUUCAAUUAAGUGAUAAUAUUCCUUUCUUAUUUUUCUCAGGCUCUUUGACAAAAUGAUCCAUUCUCUUUUUAUAUUUUGUAUUUUUUUUUUCAUCUACUCUAUAGAUAAAUAAUUAAGAAAAUAACAACAAUAAGAUUAAAAAAGUAUAUAUGUAUUUUGUUGCUUAUGGUAUGUUUGAUGAGUUUAUCGUAUUUGGAAGAAUCAACUACAAACUUAGAAAAAAAAAGUGAGACGAAUUUCAUCCAAAGUACUUAAAAGUCUCUCUAUAUAUUGUUGGCCAAGAAAACUAAUAUAUAAUUUAACACAAAUCUUUUUUCUUUUAUGAUGUUGAAGAGAGAGAGAGAGAGAGAGAGAGAGAGAGAGAGAGAGAAUAAGAUGUUGAAAAGGGAAAAAAAGAAAAAGAAGGCUUUAUAUAAACAGUUGUGUUCAUAAGAUGUUGGUUUAUGUUAAGAAGAAAAAGGAAGUAAUAGGAUGUUAUUGCUUUUGUCCCAAUUUUGGCAUUGUGGGGCAGUGUAUGUGUAGUCAGUUUAGAUUAUUCUUUGAUAAAGUAUCAUUUAUAAAGCAUUCUGGUGUAAAUUAUGUGGGGAAGUGUAUGAAGGCUUUAUAUAUAAGUGAAUGUUAAUUUCGGUGGUGAAACUAAAAUUGUUGAACAAAAUCAAAAAGCAAUGUUUGAAGGAGGAACUGAUGAUAAUGGGGGUGGUGCUCAGCCGCUUCUGCUUGCUUCCCUCUCCGCCCCUACUACUACUACUUCAAACAAACCCGCUGGUUUCAAGUUGAUCCAGCAAAUAGUUUUAAGCAUUCGUUUCCUUCUGAUCUGCCUCAACAGAACCAGAUCGCCGCUGCCAUUACUUCAUACGCCCAUUGACGAUAUAAUCCCCUUGGAAGAAGAAAGGGCGGUGAUUGACGAUAUAAUCCCGUCGGAAGAAGAAAAGGAGGUCAUUGAUAUUGCCCGUUUGGAAAAAGAAAGGGAAAUGAAGAAGGAUCGUCUUAAGGAGAUUGUGAAAGAGAAGAAUUUAGCAGCACUAGAGACGGACUUCUGCGGUGUAGGGGAGGCUGUUUCAUUUCUUCAUUCCCAAUGGGACACACAGGUAAAAAACCUUUUUAUUUUUAUGUAUAUUGAGUUUAUUCCAUUAUUCAUGGCCUUCUUAGUGUAUCAAUUAUUUCAUAAUUUUCUAUAUAUAUAAUAUUUUUAAAUUUCGGUCAAGUUUGGUUCACAUCGAUAUAAAUCCAGUUAGGUUGGUUCGGUUUUCUGAAACCUCUUCCUUAAACCGACCGCCGACUGUUUUUCAUAAAAACCGACUAUUAGGUAUCGGUUCAUUAAAUUUCAGUCGUUUGGAUCGGUUUUUUGGUGUUGAUGCUCACCCUUAAUGAUCAUUGAUUGACUCUAGGUUUUAAGAUUGAAAAAAAUCUCAACCACUAAUUUGUUGGUUUUGAUCGAUGUCGUUGGUUUUAGAAAGAUAUAUGAAAUUGAUCAACUUAUGGUCGUUAGUUGUUUUGGUUGGUUUGAUUAGUUUUUCAUAGAUGAUGAUUCUCCCUAUUAUUCCUUCUUUGAAAGAGAGAAGAAACAACUCCACUUCACAUGAGUGUUGAGUUGAUUCUCUCUAUUUUUCAUAGAUGAUUCUCCCUAUUCGCUAACGUUCAUGUUUUUUGUUUUCGAUUCUUGUUUUCAUAUUUUAAGAGACGAAUGUGUUUUGUAAUGUUUGAUUUUUCUUGUUCUAAAAAAUUUCUCAUUUUAUAAUAAAUUAAUGGAAAAAAAAUAGUUUCUUCUAUUCUCAUUUUUCAAUUAUUUCUAUUGGUUUCAUUUUUUUUCUUAAUUAUUUUUUUGAAAUUCUUUUCCAUUUUCUUUCUUUUUUUUCAAUUCUUUUUCUAUUUAAUUUUCGUUUUUCCGUUUCCUCUCGUUAUUUCCCUUUUCUUCCUCUUAUUUCUAUCUCCUUCCCCAAAUAACCACCAUGGUUUCCCUUUUCUUCCUCUUAUCUUCAAGGAAAAGGAAAUCCCCAACUAACCUCUUAAAUUCCACUUUUUUUUUUUUUUUUUUUUUUUAUGUACUGUUUUUCUUUUUCCAAUUUGAUCUUUUCUCUUACAAACUAAAUUCAACUUUUUUUUCUCUUUAUUUUCCAUAUGAUUUUUUUUUUAUCUUUAUUCAUUCUUAAAAACUAAAUUGUAAUUUUUUAUAAUAAAAAAAUUCCACAUAAUUUUUUUAUCUUUAUGAAUUUUAUUUUUGUUCUUAAAAACAAAAUUCUACUUUUUUUAAAAAAAAAUUAUAUAAUUCUUUUUUAUUCAAUUUGAAUUUUAUUUUUCGUUUUUAAAAAUUAAAAUUUUAACUUUUAAUUUAAUACUAAUCUGUUUUUUUCCCAGGGAAAAAAACUAUUUUUUAAUGAAAAUCAAUUUUAUUUUUCUCAAGAAGGUGCUUUUGUCUCUUAUGAAUUUUCACCACGUUUUAUUUUUCUUUAAAAUACAAUUAAUUUCCUAAUUUCUUACCCAUGGAUAAAAAUUAUUAACUAAAAAUAAUUAAGUAUAUAAUGAUAUAUGAAUUUGUGAGAAAAUUGGGAAGUAUUAAGUAUAUAAUAAUUAAGAAAUCAUUAAACAAUGAUAGUAGAAAAAUUAAAAAGAAAAUUGACAAAUACCUUAUUUUGAGGAUUUUUGAUAUUAAAUUUGGAGAGAUUUGAUUAAUAAGAAUGUAAAAAGAAAAAAGUAAAAUGCAUGAGAGAAAAUAAAUUAAGUGUAAAAUGAAGAAAACAAAAAGAAACAAAAGAGGUGAGGUGGAGUGCCUCUGUUAAAGCCACGCACUCCAAUAAUAAAAACUACCUUAUUUAUGUAAAUAGUUUAAAAUUCACUCUUUUUUACCAAUUUAUUUUAAAAAAACACAUAACUAUCCAAAUCAAUCUUUCAAACUAUUCAAAUAUCAAAUAUCAUUUUCAACCUAUCAAACUUCUGUAUUUUCAUAAAAAAGUAAAAAACAGUCUACUUCAGCAAUUGCUGCUGUAUGUUCGGUUCAGUAUUUGACUUUAGUUUGUCAUUAUUGUAGAUUGAUGCAAUUGGGGAUUUAGCGCAAACAGGAUUCUGGGACUCAUUGCUCCUGUUUCUAAAAGCCUUUUGGUCAUCUUUGUACAACUCCUUCAACAGCUCUACAAUCUUGCUCUUGGUAUUUGCUGCUGGAUUUUCUUUGGCCAUCGGAUCCAUUGAACAAGGACUUAAACAUGGCUGGCACGAUUGUGUUGGUAUACUCCUAGCUGUUUUUCUUCUUCUAUUUUUCUCUUCGGUUUUAGGCUUUUGCAAGAAAAAGGCGGAGGAGAAGAAGCGUUUGAAGAUCAAGAAUAACUUUAAAGUGACUGUGAAAAGACAUGAAGAACUUCAGGAGAUAUCUGUAUUUGAUGUUAAGGAGGGAGAGAUUAUCCAUUUGAAGAAGGGUGAUCGUGUUCUUGCAGAUGGGUUGCUAAUAAAAGGUAACAACCUGAUUCUGGAUGAAGCAAUCAACUCCCACAUUGACCCUCGUCGAAAUCCAUUUCUGUUAUCUGGUUCUGUGGUUGAAUAUGGCGAAGGAGAGAUGCUUGCAGUAUCUAUCGAUCGCGACACUGCUUUUUGGAAAGGUCUGCUUGAUGUGAUUGUUUAUCCUUCACAAGAAACACUGUUCCAAUCUCGAAUCAACAAACCAUAUGAAUUUUUUGAAAAAUUCUCUCUUGGAUUGUAUUUGAUGGUGCUGCUUGUUGUUCUAACUCGUCUUCUUUGUGAAAAGCACGAGCAUGGUAAUUACUACAAUGAUAAGCCGGAAACUAAGGGGAAAUUGACGGUGGCCUUUAUAGGAAAUGCCUUCCAAAGAAUGUCCUUUGUGUUUGGGAAGUACAGAGUUUCCUCCGUGGCAACUGUUGUCUUUACCAUGGUAGUAGGAAUACAGCAUGGGAUGCCUCUUGCAAUCACUUUUUCCCUCUCUUUCUGGAGAGAAAAGAUGAGAAGAUCUCACAAAGUAAACUGUCAGAAUCUGUCAGCUUGCGGAACUUUGGGACUUGUUUCCGUAAUCUGUAUUGACGUCGCUGCUGAGUUGUCAUUUUGUGAUGUUGAGGUUGAUGAGUUUUACGUUGGAGAAGAAAAGAUCAACCCUGGUAUGGAAUUUCAUCUUGAUGUUCAUCAAGGCUUUGAGGCAGCAUCCAGAGUUUUACGCAUUGAUCCCAAGACUACUUUUCUUUCAGAAUAUUUGCUCGAUUUCUGGAAAAAUUCAGGAUUGAAAAUCAAUAAUGAACCUGAUCUUGAUCAGAUGUUUGACAUUAUUGAUCAUAAAUUCUUGAGCUCAGAAGAGAGCAUGGGAGUAUUGGUGAACAAAACUAGAGGAGGAGAUACUGUAUCAAAUCUUAUUCACGAGCACUUUUAUGGUGAUGCAUCAACUAUUCUGAAUAUGUGCUCAAAUUACUAUGACAUAGGAGGCAGAGUUCAUGACAUAGAAAACAGAAAUGAUGUGUUGCAAACGAAGAUUAAAGAAAUGGAAGAAAAGGGUUUAAGACCCAUUGCGUUUGCUUGUAAACAGAAAAACGAUCAAACAGGGUUUGAAGGAGAGUUAAAGCUGCUUGGAUAUAUGGGUCUUAAGAUCUCACAUGAAAAAAUACAGCAUGCCUUGAAAGAUCUUCAAAAUAUUGGUAUAAGAAUCAUAUUAACAUCAAAGGAUAACGUUUCUGUGAUCAUAAAAAUGGCUGGUGAUCUUGGAACUCGGUGUGAUCCCAACAACAGGCAGACUGAAGGUGAUCAAAGAUUGAGGGAAAUAUUAAUGAAGAACAAUGAAAGGGAGAAAAAUGAGCUAAUGAAGUCAAUUACUUUUAUGGGGAAAGCAACCUCUGACGACAAGCUUGUGUUAGUAAAAGAACUAAAAGCUAAGGGAGAAACUGUUGCUUUUAUAGGAGGUUUGACAUCAGGAGAUGUUCCAACUUUGAUAGAAGCUGAUAUUGGGAUUAUACAAGAAAACAGAAGUACUAAAGAAUGUAAACUGGUUUCUGAUCUGAGGUAUGAAGAUGUUACAUCCUUAAACCAUACACUAAAAUAUGGCAGAAGCAAUUACCUCAACAUUAAAAAAUUCUAUCAACUUCAACUCACUGCUUUAAUCUCUGGGCUUCUAAUAACUUUGAUCUGCACCAUGGUGUCUGGAAAAUCUCCCAUAACCUCAUUUCACCUCACAUGGGUGACUUUGAUUACUUGUCUUCUUGGUGGCCUGAUGAUGGUAAUGGAAUUAAAUGAUGAGGAAGUCCAAAACGUUGUCGGAGGCAGCGAUAGGAACCAAGCUCUGAUAACUCGAGACAUUGUGAAGAAGAUUGUGAUCCAUGUUCUGUGUCAAGCUUCUGUUUUCUUGAUUAUAGAGUAUUUGGGGCACAAGAUUGUACCCCAGAUGAAGGAAGAUGUGAGAGAUACCAUGAUUUUCAAUACUUACAUUCUCUGCCAAAUAGCAAAUCUUCUUGGUGCUAUCAGUGUGGGAUUGGUAACAAAUAGAGCAGCUGUUUUUCAAGUUGCGGUUCAAAUUCUGUGGGUUUUGAUUUUUGUGGUUGGAGUAUUGGCUGUGCAGGUGGUGGUUAUUGAGCUUCAUGGAACCAUUGUAAAUGGUGUGAAACUAAGUGCUUUGCAGUGGAUUAUUUGUUUCCUUUUUGCAUUGGCACUUGGAUGGGCUUCUUACAUAUUCUUGCACUUUGCUAUCCAUUGAACAUUAGGAUGGUUUUUUUGUGUUGAUAUAGUUUUGACCUAUUAUUUGCAUAAGGGUACACAAAAUUUAUUUUUAUAAUAUAUGAUUAUUAUAAUUUGUGUUUGAAGGGUAAGUAUUCUAAUUUGUGUUUGAAGGGUAAGUAUUCUAAUUUGUGUUUUGUAAUCUGAGUUUGGUGUGCAUAGAUGGUUUUAUUGUUUUCACUCAUUAAGAGGGUGUUUGAAGCUUAAACAAAGUUAUUAUAAUUUAAGAUUUUUAUAGUUUAUGUUUGUCAAGUGCAAAGUAUUAUAGUUGAAGUUUUGUAGUUUGUAUCUAGAGUAAGUAUUAUGAUAUUGAUUGUUAUAGUCUAUGUUUAAGGUGCAAAUUAUUAUAAUCUGCGUUAUAUUAUGUUUUUUUUUUUUUUCACUAUUAUUUGUUGGUAUACAUAUUUUAGGUAUAUAAAAUACCAUUUUUUUUUAAAACAUAAUUCAUAUUAUAUCUUCCACUAAUUUAUACAUACUAGAUUAUUACUGGUUGGGAUAUAUGUCUUCUAACAACUUUAUAUUAUAACAUAUUUUAUAGAAAUUAAUAGGUGAUUUAAUUAAACUUGUUAAUUUAAUAAAUUUAACUACAACCUUCAUGACUAUUGACAAAUUACAAUCUUCCUAUAUGACUAAGGACUAAUUACACAAUUAUCUAAACUUUUCUAUUCAAUAAUCUAAUGAUCUAUUAUUUAACAAAAAGUCAGGUAUAACUUAACUUUCAGCCUAAUAUAUAUAAUAACAUUAAUAUCAAUACAAAAAGAGGUAUUUAAGAAGUUUCUUAUGGUUACAAACUUCCCAAACCAAUUUUUAAAAAGACUUGCCCAGUUGAAAGAACUAUAUAAUAAUUCGAAAUUUGUCUUCCUCAUUAACUUAAGCAAGAAUCGCCAAAAAAAAUAAUUAAAAUGUUGCUAUAUAUAUAUAUAUAUAUUAAUAUUUCAAUAAAAUAAAGUAUUGGGCUUUGAAGGCUUCGUUAGUUUAGUCGGCCCAUUAAAAGUAGAAGAUUUAGUACAAAUAGAAACAUGUGGCUAUGUGAAUUGUGAAUGAUCCCACCAAUAUCUUGGAUGCCACGUGGCUUGGCAAUACGCCAUUAAUAAUCUGCAUGAAAAUCUGGGUUUGAGCAGAAGAACCAAUAGGAUGUUGCUGACUUGUAACAAUCCUAAUCCACUAUAUCUUUCCAUCCCCAAUAUAACCUCCAUUUUCACUACCUUCAUCCUCGUCUAAAACCAACCUUCACCCCUCCUUUGGCAUUGCAUCAAACUUCUUACAAAGCUUCAUACACUCAUGGCCACCUCUGCUAUUCAACAAUCCGCCUUCGCCGGCCAGACUGCCUUGAAGCAAUCCAAUGAGCUUGUCCGAAAGGUCGGUGCUCUCGGUGGCGCCCGCUUCACCAUGAGGCGGACAGUUAAGAGUGCUCCACAGAGCAUUUGGUAAACUCCCUUGUCCUUUAGAAGUUAAUUGUGACUGUUUACGUAGGUUUUUUAGGAUUAAAGGAAGUUUAGAACUGUUAAAAAAUUAGUGCUUUAAUGGGUUUUUUCUGCAUUUCCAUGCUCUAUGGUACUUUCCUGCAAUGAUAGGUUGAAUAAAAGAUCAGUUCAUUCAGUACAGUCCAUAGAAAGACGUUUAAACAUUUAUUGAAUUGAAUUGAAUUGUGAGCACAGUUAAGUAGGAAAUUCACCUAAUUGGGGAGUAAAUUUUAAUAUAUUAGUCAUUCUAAUUACAUAAAUUUUAAGAGGGGGAAGAACAAAGAAGAAAAAAUUUUAAGUUUGCACUAAAAAAAAAAAAAAUCAAGUUCCAUUUAAAACUCAACGCCUGUUUUCUUGACAUAUCAGGUAUGGACCUGAUCGCCCAAAGUACUUGGGACCAUUCUCUGAACAAACACCAUCUUACCUGACUGGAGAGUUCCCUGGUGACUAUGGAUGGGACACAGCCGGUCUGUCAGCAGAUCCCGAGACUUUUGCAAAGAACCGUGAGCUUGAGGUGAUCCACUCCCGAUGGGCCAUGCUUGGUGCGUUAGGUUGUGUCUUCCCUGAACUCCUUGCAAAGAAUGGCGUCAAGUUCGGUGAAUCAGUUUGGUUCAAGGCUGGUUCUCAGAUCUUCUCUGAGGGUGGUCUAGACUACCUUGGCAACCCAAACCUUAUCCAUGCUCAGAGUAUCCUUGCAAUCUGGGCUUGCCAGGUUGUGCUCAUGGGAUUUGUUGAAGGUUACCGUGUUGGUGGCGGUCCCCUUGGUGAAGGACUAGACCCAAUUUACCCAGGAGGUGCCUUCGACCCACUCGGAUUGGCAGAUGACCCAGAUGCAUUUGCUGAGUUGAAGGUCAAGGAACUUAAGAACGGAAGGCUGGCAAUGUUCUCCAUGUUCGGAUUCUUUGUCCAGGCUAUCGUCACCGGCAAGGGUCCUAUUGAGAAUCUCUUUGACCAUGUCGCAGAUCCUGUUGCCAACAAUGCAUGGGCUUAUGCCACCAACUUUGUCCCCGGAAAAUGAAGAAACCUGUAGGAAACAACUAUCUGUUUUACACACUUAAGCAUCUCCUCCUGAAAAUCACAUGUUGAUGUAAUUUCUCAAGUAGAGACUCCCUGCAAUUAAAUCUGUAUCAGUAAAGUUCAAAAUUUUCUAUGCUUUGUGUUAUUUUCACGUAUAGAAUGUCAGCAGCAUCUCGGCAGAUGGCACACACUAUUCAUAGGUUUUAAAAAAUAUACUAAUUGAUUGAUCCAUAGGAAAGAUAAGAGGUUGACGAAGGGAUUGAAUGCUACAAAGAACGCUUUUCCUUUGUUUUGUUUGAGACAUAAAGAAACUAAAAUCAUGAAACUUUACAACCGAACUUAUAACCUCGAAAGACCUAAGAUAUACCAACUUGCAACGGAAAAUUACCUGAAUUCAUGAAGACAAGUAUUAGAUGAACACGAUGCUAGUUGCUCAAGUAGGAAGGAAAGAUUUACCACCCACUUAGAUGAGAAGAAGUCACCAAAAAUCUUUACAUGAACAAGACCCACUUUUAAAGUGAUGGAAUCGACUACCAUCUCUGAUAAUUAUCUCACGGUUGUAAAUAUGAGAAAGAAGUUUAGUCACAGCAUGGCAAUCGUUGCAGAUACGAAGAUUCUUUAUGAUGCGGAUAGGACUUCCGUGCUUGAUAUUAAGAAGACCAAAAGCUAUUGCUAACCUCUCACUGUGGGUUUCAAGUUCUGCUUCUUUCUCAUUAUCCUCUUCAAGGCAUAACAAAACUUGAGUUGUGUCGGGAAUAUGCCCCGCUACAUUCAAUUUCUUUUUCAUCUCACAUAGUUUGAUGUAUAUCUCUUCAGUUUGAGGAUGUGACUUAUCUCCCACGAUGAAUUCAUGAAUUGAACCUUGAUGCUCAAUGGAACUGCAUCCUGGAUCCUUUUUCAUUCCUUUCUUCUUCAUCAUUUCUCUUACUUGCCGAACCUUUUCCCACAAGCCAGCGGCAGCAUACAUGUUCGAAAGAAUAACAUAACAUCCAGUAGUAUCCGGUGCUAAAUCAAUCAGAUGUUGAGCUGCAUAUUCCCCCAUUCUUAUGUUUCCGUGUUUCCUUGAACCACUUAGUAGACUCGUCCAAAUUACUUUGUUUGCUUUGAUGGGCAUUCUCUCAAUGGUAUCCUUUGCCUCUUCAAGAUGUCCAGCUCGACACAGAACAUCGAUCAAGCAACCGUAGUGUUCGAUAGAGGGCUUGAUUCCAUAAUCAUAUGUCAUCAUCUUAAAGUACCGAUGUGCAUCUUCUGCAAAUCCUGCAUGACUACAAGCAUUCAACACUCCAAUAAAAGUAAUAGCAUGAGGCUUCAAUCCAGUUCUGCACAUUUCAUCAAAUAACUCAAGAGUUUGCUCGACCAAUCCAUGCAUUCCUAAGCCUACAAUGACAGACGUCCAAUGCCCCAAUUUCUUUUUGGGUAUAGACCGAAAAACUCUGAGGGCACUCUUAACGCUGCCACACUUGGAGUACAUUUCUAUCAGCAAUGUGCCGAGCACACCAUCUGUUUUGAAUCCACUUUUCACUAUAUAGGAAUGAACCCAUCUUCCCGUACCAAGACUAACCAUUCCUGAAGCUGCAGAAACAGCUCCAAGGAUAGUAGUAUAAUUGGGUGAUAUAUCUUCUCUCAACAUGACCUCAAACAGCUUCAAGGCUUUUGUAAACUGCUUGUUCCGCUCAUAUCCAGUGAUCAUCGAAUUCCAUGUAACGAGGCUUCUCUCUGGCAUCUGAUCGAAUAAUUCUUUUGCCGUGUUAGAAUCCCCUGCUUUCAUGUACCCAUUAAUCAUAGCAUUCCAAGAUACAGAAUUUCGAAUAGGCAUUCGAUCGAAUACGUCUCUAGCAGCCUCAAGCUUCCCACUUUUCGAAAGACCAUCAAUGAGAAUAGUCCACGAAAAAGAAUCCUUCUCUGGCAUUUCUUCAAACAUCUCCAGUGCCAAUUCAAUUUCACCACACCUAGCAUACCCAUCAAUCAAAGAAUUCCACGAUACUACAUCCUUAUCUUCCAUUCGAUCAAACACUUUCCUACACAGCUCAAUCUCACCACAUUUAGAAUACAUACUAACCAAACUACUCAAAACAAACUUAUCGACACCAAACCCAAUUUUCAAUACCAAGCCAUGAAUCUGUUUCCCUUCCUGUAAUGCACCCAAUCGAGCACAACCCUUUAGAACACAAGGCAAUGUAAAAGAAUCAGGCACGAAAUCACAAAGCAAUUUGCAGAACAACGCAAUGGCAUCAUUUGAACGUUGGUUCUCGAUGUAGCACUUGAUGAGUAAAUUCCAAGAAACCAAAGUGGGUUCUUGAAUCCAGUCGAAAAGGGAGUGAGCAUAUUGAAGAUUGUUGAUUCUGGGAUCUGCAUAAAGAGCCAAAAGACGAGAAGACACUGAAGGGUGAUUCAAGGAGGCUGUUUUGAUCGAGAGAGCGUGGAGUUGGUUUGCUUCUCGUUCGGUCCCGCAGUUUUGAAGAGGAAAAUGAAGGUUGGGAGGGAGAAAUGGUUGGAGGGAAUGUGAAAGCGUAGGGGAUAGCAUCAGAAUUCGAUUGAAUGGAACAAGAAAUUGAAGAAUGGAGCAGGGUUGUGAUUUUUGAAUACCCAAUUAAGACGUUGAUGAAUACAAUGUUAUACAUACAAGAAUGAAUGUAAAUUCAGAUUCAACAUUUGUUCAUCUAAUCCCUUCCAACAAUUUGUAGACCUCAAAUCAACAACCCAUUUUAAAGACCCAAAAUGUAACCCAAACUUUUUGUUUAAAAACUACCCUUAAACUAAAAAAAAAAAAGACUAAUUUAUUUUUAUUAUAUUUUCAUAAAUAUAUAAGAUUUUGAUAUAUCCAUCAAUUAUAUAAGAAAUUUGGGAACUUUAAAAACGGACUUUGAUUUUCUUUUAUGUUUUUGGAGAUGUGAAAUGCCCACUGUGUCCUCAAAUUCUCCAUUAAUUUGGCAAAUUUUGCUUCUGGAUCCUUCCUCUAUUCAAUCCCACAUUCUCACUUUCCUAUUUAUACUUCAAACCAAAACCCCCCUCUCUUCCUCCACAUCUCAACUCUCUAAACUUUCUUCUUUUUCAAUUUUCAAUUCUAUUCUCUCUUUUGGACUGUGCUUACUUGAUGAGGGCUUCGCUAUCUGGUCAGUGCGGAUUUAUUCUGUUCCCAUUUGACUCGUUCCCUUCGAAGCUAUAUCCAUCGUGUUACUUUUUCACAAUCUCUCCCUUUGCUUUCCAAUUCUUAUAGCGUUUGGGAGAACACUGGAGUAGCUACAUCUUUCUUUUUAUUAUCAUUUGCUCUAAUAUAAUGCCUUCAAUUGAAUUCUUUUUCUUUUUCCUUUUCUUUUGGGGAGGCAACGGUGAUGAGCCUUUUUGCAGACCUGUAAUGAUUUGCGAAUAUGAUCGCAAUUUCUUACGAACAUCUAAGGGACUGAGUUGCUUUUUUUAUUAUUAUUAAUUUUUUUUUUUCUUUCCAUUUCGAUUUGGAAUGAAGUGAGAAUAGCCCUAACGUGCGAUUAAUAAACAUGAUUGUUCUUGAGAAAUUCGAAUGAAUUUAGGGUUUGGUUGUGUUUUGUGAAAUGGAGGCUGUAGAACCCCAGAACGGAGUCGAGAAUUUAGGGUUUGGUUCUUGCUUUGUUUUGGUGUUAAUUUCAGUUACUGUUUUUUCUUUUUUGGAACUUCCAAUAAACUAAUAUCAUAUGAUUAAGAACUUAGAGAUAUGAGUUUGUGACUUUUUUUUUAAUACUAAAUUUGAAAACAUUUGAAUUUAGGAAUAACUAAUAGUUUUUAUUAAUUAGUCACUUUUUUUAAAAUAAAAAGUAACAAGGUUUUAUUUGAAAUUGUUUCCAAUAUUGAAUUAAUUUCUUAUGAAACUAUAAAAUGAUUUCUUGUGGGGUAGAUUUUUGGUUUGUUUUAUUGAUUAAUUAGAUUAAUUAUGAAUUUAUUUAAAGUAAAUAGAAGAAUUGAAUUCAAAGUCAGCAAAAGUUUUAAUAAACUUAGUGGGAUUUUCCUAUUGAAAAUUGAAUAAGGUGUUUCUAAGAUGAGUCUUCUCUUUUCAUCUUACCAAAGAUUCCUUUUGGUUGCAUAGAUUAAGUGUCAAACUUAUUUGCAUCACUUUUUUUACUAUUUAUUCAUGAGAUUUUAUAAGAUUAACCACUUUUGGUAGUGGUUCUCUCCAAAUCAAAAUUGUGUGGUGAAUUCAUAUCUAAUGGGAUAAUAUUUAUUCAAAGUUAGUAUUAUAUUUUUUUUUGUUGAAUGUUUCUAAUGUGAAAAGGAAGGAAUAAAAGUAGAUAUGUAUUGUGUAAAUUGGUUUGAGCAUUCACACCAUUAUAGAAAUCGUUUGAGAAUAUUAAAUUACUCAUUCACUCAAAAGCUUAAACAACCACACUCAAAAGCUUAAACAACCAGGAAGGGGUAAAUAAAAUUUGGCUUCAUUUUAUAAUUAAACUUAUUUAUUAGUGAUCUAAUGAAAAGAGUUUUAUAUAAUUGCUAUUAUUUUUAUUAUUGAACACAAAAAGUUUAUAUCAAAUUUAGAAGUAAAUAUAUACUCUUAUCAAACUCGAGUUUGCAAGUUUCUAAAUUCCAAAAUCUCACAAAAUCUCAAUUUUGCGUUAAACAAUCUUAAAUGACAUUUAAAUUCUAUAUAAGGUUGAGGAGAUAGUAAUAGCUUUUACACUUAUUUUUAAUAUUGUGAUAGGUUUAUAAUCUAAAAUUUUUGCCACUAAUGAUAUUUUAAUUAUCCAUCUAAAAGUUUUUCCAUAUUAGAAAAAAUUAAGGGUUGUUUUCAACAAAUUGUUUUAUUUUAAGUUACAAAACGAAAUAAAUCAUAUGGAAGAAAUUGAAAAUUUUGGAAUAAUUGAAACAAAAUAAAUCAUAUGGAAGAAAUUGAAAAUUUUGGAAUAAUUGAAACCAAAUCGUAUGGAUUGAACAAAUCAAUUUAUUGAAACUAUUUUACUUUCCCUUGUUUACAGAGAAACCAAAUUUAUGUGGAUGAAUUUACAAAAGACCUCAACUAUCAAAGAAGAAAAUCUUAAAUAAAUCCAACUUUACCAUUCGGGUAACCUCUCCACUCCUCUUUCAAAUUUAGGCCUAUGUCGUUGAAUCCUGGGCUGACCGUAUUCAACCCAUUUCUACUCGCAAACACUCGUCUUUCUUCUUUCUUCUCUCUAACAUUUUCUUCUGAAUCUCUGUCGGAGUGUGAGCCUUUCGUAACCAAAAGGGUUUGCCACUUCAAUCUCUGUCCAUUCGUCUUUCCUCUUCAGGGCUCUAAAAUCUGCUAAUUAUACCCUUCCCGUUGUGAAACCCAAUUAGAUCCUUUUCUGAUUUCUUGCCGUUCUCGCUGCUUUUAUCGACUAGGAAUCUCGAAUUCCUUUGGUGGGUAAGCUUUUUCUUCCUGUAUUUGAGUUGGGAAGUUGAUGAAUGAGUUGAUUUUAUGGUUUUUUUUCUUUUUCUUGUUUGAUCUUAUGUUCUCAUUUGUUUCUGUUUCUUACUGAGGGAGAUUGGUUUUCUUGCCCCCCUUAAAACGAUUCAUUGAGCUUUUGUUCAAACAGUGCUGCUGGGAGAUCUAGGUGCUCAGUUCAGUUGUGAUUUCUUGUAGUUGAUCUAGUUUUCAACUCGGUUUGUUGCUUGUGGUUCUGUUUCUUUUGGAGUUUGGUUGUGGAUAUGAUUUUAAACGAGUUAGAAAUAUGAACACUUUUUCCCCCCUCCUUGAGUACAUUGCGGAAGGGCUUUUCUGCCAUGGUUAACUGCAAUCAGGUUUUUCUUUUGGACAAUAUCCCCGCCUGAACCUGAAAUCUUAGUGCUCUUUUCUUAUAGUUCUUAUCAGAUGAGUGAUUUUAUCACGCUUGGUAAUAAUUUAUUUUUUAGUUUUCAAAACUUGGCUUAGUACUUGAAAAUACAAACGUAGAUAGUAAAACAAAGGAACUUAUGGGUGAAAGUAGUGUCUAUAAGUUGGAUUUUCAAGAAUAAGAAAUCAAAUGCAAUGGUUACUAAACGACUCCUAAUUAUUAGAUUUUUGAAACUUUUUAGUUUUGAGGUUAAAAAUUAGCUACGAGUUUCAAACCAUACACCAUUGAAUUUAGUGUUUUUCAUGGUUCUUUUCUUAUAGCAACAUUAAUGGGCUUUUUUGAAGGAUAGAAUAACUUAGUUUUCACUUUCUUUAUCCUAAAAUGGAAAUUAGGAGUUCUUUUCCGAAUAUUGCCUAAACAAGUAAAGUGUUUAACGUAUAGUGAAUAUUUGUACUUGUGUAGUGAAGGAUGGUGGUUAUUAAUUCAUAUUGUCUUUCUUUUCUUAUAGCAAGUUUAAUGGGUGCAUCAUCUGGUUCCAACAUUCAUCACCAGCCUGCAUCAAAGAUGAUUCCCAUACGUCAACAACCAAGACCAGAGGAACUCCAGACCUCCCUUUCAUUAGUUUCUUCAGAACCCCAACAUUCACCUGAGGUACCCAGAUCUAAUUCUGACCAUGUUCAGGAGUCACCUGCUGAGAGUGCCAGUUCUCAAGAAACUUGGCCUAUUGGUGAUGGAGUGAUGGGAAAGAAGAUGGAAAAUGGAAAGGCAGAUAAUGACUAUGUGGAACAAUCAGUCAUUCGUCGUCUUUCUAGUGCUGAUAAAAUCUCCCUUCGUGACAUAGCAAGAGACAGAAUUGAGGUAAUUGCAGAAAAGAUGCAUCAUUUACCGGAGGAUUUUCUAGAAAAUUUGAAGAAUGGGCUUCGAAUUAUUCUUGAUGGAAACGGCGGUGCACAACAGAGAGACGAGAUUUUUAUUUUGCAAAAGCUAGUUCAGCGUAGAACUGAUUUAACUGCGAAGACAUUGAUUAGAGCUCAUAGGGUGCAACUUGAAAUUCUAGUUGCCAUCAAUACAGGAAUUCAGGCCUUCUUGCAUCCAAAUAUUAGCCUCUCUCAAACUACGCUCAUUGAGGUUUUUGCGUAUAAGAGAUGUAGAAAUAUUGCUUGCCAAAACCAGCUUCCAGCUGAUGAUUGCACCUGUGAGAUAUGUACCAGCAGAAAUGGUUUCUGCAAUCUCUGCAUGUGUGUAAUAUGCAACAAGUUUGAUUUUGAAGUUAACACUUGUCGUUGGAUUGGUUGUGACUUGUGUUCUCAUUGGUCUCACACUGAUUGUGCAAUUCGUGAUGGAAAGAUCUGCAUGGGCUCCUCAGUAAGAAUCGGGACAGCCCGGUCUGAAAUGCAUUUCAAGUGCCCAGCUUGCCAUCGGACAUCUGAGCUACUUGGUUGGGUUAGAGAUGUGUUUCAACAUUGUGCACCUUCCUGGGACCAAGAGUCUCUCCUAAAGGAGCUUGAUUUUGUCAGUAGAAUUUUUCGUGGAAGUGAGGACCACGGAGGGAGGAAACUAUUUUGGAAAUGUGAAGAACUCAAAGAGAAAAUGAAGAGUGGAGCUCUGGAGUCAGCAGCAGCAUGCAGAGCAAUAUUGAUGUUUUUUCAAGGUACAUCAUUGAUAAGGUCUUUAUAUUUUUGGAUUCGCUUGGAAUAGCUUCUGUGCACAAGAGACUGUUAAAGGGUGCAUGAUUCAGUUCCACUUCCAUGUAGAGAAACUGUCUAACAUAAAUUAAUUGGUUUCAUUUUCUAAUUUCUAAAAUGAGCAUGAUAUAUGAUUAUGUGUCCCCAAGAUGCUUGAUUUUUCUGUUGAUGAAUUUACUAGGCAGCUACUCUAUUAAAUGUUUUGGUUUUCAAAAUGUCCCUAUUUCAUAUGGUACAAACGAGUAAUAAUGGAAGAAGAUUUUCCUUUAGAAGUAGUCUUCUACUCUCUCCUAAAGUUCGAGGGGUGAAAUCUUUAAGCUUAUUCUUUUCCAUAGUUGCAAGAGUUAGUUAUAUGGAUAGCAUAUUUUUGGGAUACUUUUUUUAAAGAUAGUUUUAGUUGAUAUAACAUGUCUCUGGGGUGCUAUUUCUAUAGAAGUAAAAAGUAAAUUUCGUGGACUUUUCUAUUUGGUAUCCCAUGAAUGAGCUGAGAUUGAUAUUAGAGUUCAAGGAGCAAUCCGCUCCAUUUGAGAGGAGCUUUUUUGGUAAUUUUUUUCUCUUUUAUUUGGUUAAUUGAGCUAUCUUUUAGUUGUAUUUGCCUUUUGCCUAUCAGUUUUACUAGUAAUUAAUAAAAAUCUAACGUCCUUGCUCUUACUGAAGAGAACGAGACAGACUCUAUGAGUAGUCUUGAAAAUGGGGAGGGAGGAAGGUUAGCAGCCCCACAGGAAGCAUGCAACCGAAUUGCUGAGGUGGUGCAGGAGGUUAUAAGGAAAAUGGAAAUCGUUGCUAACGAGAAGAUGAGAAGCUGGAAAAAGGCUCGCAUGGAUGUUGAGGCCUUCAACCGUGAGGUUGAGGACAAGGCCAAGGAGGCAGCUGAAAUAAAGCUUGACAGACAGAGAAAGAAGGUACAAAUUGAAGAACUGGAGAAAAUCGUUAGACUUAAAUGUGCAGAAGCUGAUAUGUUCCAACUUAAGGCCAAUGAGGCAAAACGAGAGGCCGAGAGACUUCAGAGGAUUGCUCUUGCUAAAACAGACAAGUCCGAGGAAGAAUAUGCUAGCAGUUACCUGAAACAACGUCUGAAUGAAGCUGAGGCUGAAAAACAGUAUUUGCUUGAAAAGAUUAAGCUACAAGAAAGUUCCAGAGCUUCACAAAGUAGUGGUGGGGCUGAUCCGUCUCAAAUGCUUAUGUAUUCAAAAAUUCAAGAUCUACUCUAUAAUGUUUCUAAGCCUGACUCAGCUAAAUGAAUGGGAAUUCUUUGGGAUUAGUCCCUUAUGAAUGCUAAGGUCUAGGAGCACAAUGAUAUGUACAUUAAAAUCUUGUUACUUAUGUUGCUUUGUUGUCUGAUAAUGUAUGAAGUUGUUUCUCACUGGAUCUUCAGAUACUUGUAUCGUAAACAUAACCAAGUCAUUGGUUGCUUCUAUCAUGUCUAAAGUAGAUUGUUUAUGACAGACCGAGAUUCUGUUUGAUGCCCUGGGGGUGAGUUGAAAAAUAAAAAACAAAAGCAAAAAUAUAUUUUAUGAAGUCAAAUAACAUAACAGCAAAAUACAAUGCCUUAUUAGAAAGGUUGCUUAAAACUAAGAACUAUUAUCUAGAGAAUGACUGACGAAGCUAGGUACUUAUUUGAAUGAACUAGGGUACGUUGAUAGGAGCUGGAUGAAUUCAAUGCAGUGAACGGUUCUUCUUCAUUGUUGUAGACGGUAAAGAUUUUGCCCCUUUCUUUUCAUUCCUUUGAACUAUAGGUUCAGCUAAACUUUGCUUGGCAGGUAAAGUAUCUGAAAAGGAAUUUUUGUCAUACGAAAUUGCUGUGCUUAUACCAUGACAUCUUAUAGACGAGGUUAAGCACACGUUUGGGGUGACGAUGAGUGCAUCGUUUACACACACACCCAUCAUUCUGCUUUUGGUUAUUUUAAUCAUUCUGUUUGGGAUGCUUGAUGGAACCAAGCUGCCAUUCGGGAAGUGUGAAAGAUUGUUGAGUAGUAAUGUUGUGGGGAUAGAAUGGCGUAAAACGAAUUCUUCGAGUUGGUCCAGGGAGAUAUCAGCUUGAGAAAGUUCCUGAUCAGUAGGCAUGAAGAAGGUUAUAUCUGAAUUUUGCAAGGUUUUAUUGGAGUUGUUUAAGAUCUUGAGUAGUAUGACAAAGCCAUGGUAAGAUUUUAAUCUCAUCUCAUCCAUGGCUGCUUGCAGGUCGGUUUGGUUGGUCAUCGUAGCCUGAGCUUUUGCAACUAAAAAGAGAAGAACAAAAAACCAGGGUGUCAUUUGGGGUUAGAUUAGAAGAUCAAAAAGUGUAUUCAAGGUACAGAUACUAAAUCAAUGGAGAUUUUGGUGAAUUUAUAGCAGGGCAAGCAAGUUUUAGCCAUUUGAAGAAGGUGGAUGGCUUGUGUUUUUCACCAUACAAUUUGAACAGUAACAAUUAGUUAGGAGAGGUAGUUCAUGCCUCAAAAUUCUAUUGUUUCUUUGCCUUUUUCUUCAUUAAAAAUGCAUUUUUAGAUGCCAGCUUUGUAGAAAAUGCCACAAAAAGGGAAUGGCAUUAGGAAUCCCAUACCAAAAGUACAAGAAUGAGAAGUUUCAUAUCAGCAAAGUUUUGCUCCAUCCCCAGGAAUCACAGCCAAUUGAGCAAGAAGGGGUUUUGUUUUCCAUAUUUGGGAAACUUAGAUUUUCUAAUUUUAAUGGGAUAAUAUUCUGCGGUAACAAAGGAGAAGUAUAUUCAAUGUAAAGUAGAGAUUAUGAUAAUAAUCCUUUUCUAUAUUCACAUAAAACAAUUGAAGAAGAGAACGAGUUGAUGAUAAUACGCUUCUUUGAACCACUCAUUAACACUGUAAAGAUCCUCUGCCCUCACAUCUCAAAUUAUUUGCUUUGCUUUUUGCAAGUGACCAAAGAGAGAAAAUUAAAAAGAAAAGAAAAGAUGAUACAUAAAAAAAUACUUUCUUCAUCUCUCAAUCCACACACACUUGUGAUUAUACACUAAAACCUGUUUUAUUUGCUUCCACUUUGUUAGAGGAAAAGUUUGGCAUCCUCUAUAACGUUGUGCAUAUGUUUGAAACGCUUCUCAAAUAUUUUUGUCAACAAAAUCCCUAUUCAAAUCUUGCACAAAUGUUUACGAUGAAUAUAGGUUUUAGCAUUGCAAAAAUUAAGUAUAGUUUAACGAAUAUAAAAUACGUUUUCUCAAUAAAAAAAGUCAGAGAUUUGAAUCUUCAUGUUCCAUUUGAACUCAAAAAAGUGCUUUUAAGUACAAAUGUGUUUUGAAAUAGUUGAAGAGUCAUUUCAGUUAAGUUUUAAGCAAUGUUAUAUUAGGUUAGUUUUUGUUAUUAUUUACCUUAGACGAUCAAAUCUUACUUUUUGUUAAAGUUUACAUUCAAAUCUUACACAAAUGAUGAUGAUGAUGAAUAUAGCUAUUAACAUUAUCAUAGUGAAAGUCUACUUUAAACGUUGAUUUAGAACGACUACUCAAAUGUUGAUAAGUACUCUUAAGUAAAGUGUUAUGAAGCAGUUGAAAAGUCAUUCCAAAUAGUUUUAAAUUAGUUUUUGCUAUUAUUUAUAUUAGAAAUUCGAACCUUAGUUUUUAUUAUUAUCUACAACGACAUAGUGCAUAAAUAAUGAUGAACUUAGUUAUUAACAUUGCUGAAUUAAAGUAAGCAUAUACCGUCAACAAACAUGUAUAACUAAAAAUAUUGUUAAUAUUUAAUGGUUGAUUUAGAAUUACUGUCUAAAAGUGUUUAUAGAAUUGGUUUUAAAUUAUGUUAUUAUUUUUAAAUGCUAAUAUUUUUUAUUCUUAUCUACCUUUCAAGCCUAAAUCUUAACUUAUGUUAUUUUCUACCUUAGAAAUUGAAAUCUCUACCUCCAUAAAUGAAAUGAAUACCACAAGGCACAAAGUAUACCUUUGAUUUGAUAUACUUCAAUCAUAGUCAUUACGUUUGUUAGACCAACGGAUCAUAUAUUUCAUGUGCUUCAUUCAACAACUCUACCAAUGGUUUCUGCCUAUUCUAAAGAAACGUGAUGUGCUUUAAACUACUGACGACGACAACUUUAGCUUUUAGGACUUUGAUUGACUAACUGAUAGAUAUUGAGAUACACUCAUCCUCGAUAAGGUGGCCAAAGCUUUAGAUUCAUUUUUACAUUUAGUCAUCGGUAAUCUUAUAUAUCUAAAACUCUUCUAAGUUCUCUUAAGAAAAUUUGGAAUAUGGCUAAAAAUACCUCUUUGAGUCCAUGUGUUUUUAUAUUUAACAUAUUUGCUAAAUUUCACAAGAUGGAUUGAGAUAUGAAUUCUUUUUUAGUCAUUCAAACACCUCAUGUGGAUCUAGCUUUGAACAGCGUAGAACACGUUAUGAGAGAUGUCGAAGGGGGCUGGUUCUUCUGUUAUAUGCAUGCUAUUGGGGCAUGUAAUCAAUGCUAUUGGGGCAUGUAAUCAAGGACAUUGGUAGCCUAACAAAGGGUUGGCGCCAUUCAUGCAUCUUUCGAGAAUUCAACCCAUGAGCUAUAAAAAUGUCACUUCAUUGUAGCAAUGCUCCACCAACAUAAGAUAACAUAUGUUUCCUCAAACGAGUAUAGGAGAAGUUAAGACUUUUUGCCGUAUAAUUUCUUUUUUUAAAUCAAUGAGUGUCCAGGCCAAUCUACGCGCCAUUUGGGUGUCAAGAAUUUUUUUCUUUUCAUGUUGGGUUACAACACGACUGUUAGUUGUAAAAAUGAAUGUGUUUCAGAAAACACUUGAAAAAUAUAAGAAGAUUUAUUCUGUUAAGAAAUGUUGAGUAAUGCAUUUGUUUGUUUGUUGAUAAGCAACCAAUGAAUGAAACCCUAGCAAACUUUAACUUUAAUGAGGAGAAAUGUGCUUAAUAGGUACAAUUUCAUGUUUAAGGCAAUGUUAUUUACCCCUUGAUAGUAAGUCAAAUUUUAUGCUGAAGUAUAGGCCUUGUGUGCAAGGAAAAUCAACUAUUUGAUGUUCUUUAGUGAUGUUAUGGUUUGUGCUUGAAGCCUGGUCUCUCUCUACAUGUUUAUGUUUUAGUGGGUCAAAUGAAACUUUAGAAUGUAGUAACCUUAAGAAACUUAUCUUUAUUACUCUGCUGUUCCAAUGAAUUUGAACAUCGGCUGCCAUUCCAAACAAGAAUCAGCUUCUCAGGUUACAUGGAAAAGUCCUUGAAUCGUCCUGGGGAGCGAAGCGACAAUAGCUGCUUCAAUCAAACAUUGACUCUCUUUAUUACUAUGCUGUUCCAAUGAAAAUUGUGGUGGUAAUUAUCAUCUUUUACCAAUACUUCUGGUGUAUAAGGCAACAUAGACUAAAAUUUUAACCAACCCCUCAAAAUGAUUCUCAAGAUUCAUGGUCAAAAUAAGAAUAAGAUAAAUAACUUGUAUGUUUAACACCACAAUAAUUAGAUAGAAUUUCAAAUUAUUUGCACCACCUUUGAUAUAUAUGGCACAUUCCUUUGUUAGCGGAUCAUGAAAUCUUCAAGAGCAAUGAAGAUGAGAGAAAACUGCUUCUAAAUAUAUAAAAUUGGUUAAGGCUAAGCAAGUGAUCAUAGACAGUGACAUGGAAAUUUUUGGUUGAUAUUUUUAUAAUUAUAACAUUGUGAUCAAACAGUAGUAUAGAAAACCUAUUGAAUAUCAAAGCAUAAGUUACAUCAAUCAGGUUAAAAAUGGCAUACCAGAGAGAAAAUCCAAGGACUCUAGCAUCUUGGUAACUAUUAGCUAACUUUUAACAAGCUAUCUUUUAUUAAAGUGCUAUGAAAACCUACACGAUUGAUUUUAUUUUACCAGUUUAAUUAAUUUAUACAAACUAGUUAAUAAUCUGACUGUAGAGCUAUACCAUGAUUUGGUGCUGUUAUUAAUGUGUCUUGAUUGAUGAUACAAAUUUGAACCUGGAAGGGCAUGCUAUCUUAGCUUUCGAUUGCUACUUUCAGCUGCUUAUUUUGUUCACUCGCAACUCCUGGGCUAGGAUUUACCACCACCCCAUCGAGUAUAAUGUCAUCACUUGUUUCUGUUGCAUUCAACUUGCCAUUCUCUUCAAUCAAUUUGCCUUCAGAACCUGAUUGGACGUGAAAUAUAUUUGAGAGAAUAUUAUCACAAACCUCUGAUUUAUCUUCUACUCCUACACUGUUACUUACUUGAAUCACUUCGCGGAUCCUUACUAGCAUGAACCACCGUACUAACCGGUUUUGGUUUUGUUUCGUCACUCUGGGCUGUUGUGGAUCCAACUGAGUUCAACGUCACUGUUCUAAUAGGAGGCACAACAUGGUCAUGCUGGCCCUCAUAUGUGGUAAGCACUAUUUUGGGAUCAUGAGACGCCCUCUCUACAUGUUUCUUAACUGGACAUCCAGGACUUGAGCAUCUGUAGUAACUCCUGCCCAAAAUAAUAGCACAACCGUGAUUACCAAUGUACUUUGUAUUCAUUAGAAAAGUUGAACUUGUGUUCAAGAAUCAAGACUUUUUAAAUAAGUAGUUUCCAAGAUUGUAUCAUGCAUUGAAAGGGACUGCCUAAAACCAGACAUGGGACAUACUCUUUCUCCUUGCAGAGAUUGGUUCCAUGUUUGAGUUGGCAGUAAAAGAAAAGAGUAUGGUUGUUCCCCUCGUCCCCAAACCCUCCCAAUAUACAUGUGUAUGUAUAUAUAUAUAACUUCAUCAACGAACGAGCAUGAUGAGCAAUGAAAAGCAAAAGAAAUCUACUCAGGUAAAAUUAAGAAAUUAUCGCUCAGCAUAUACUCAUUAUCCGAGCACUCAUACAACUGUCCUACUUAAUUAUAUACAAUCUUAGACAAUAUUUUGCAAUUAAUUAAUCAAUACCUAGGAUUUGGAUUGCCUUUCACAAAUUUCUGUCCAUACUUCCGCCAGCGGUAUCCAUCAUUGACGAUGUCAACCUCACUAGGAGUUUGAACAACAACCCGAGAUUCAACAGUUGACUUGUCUGCUACUGUCGUCACGUCAAUAUUACAUCUUUUCUUCCUUUUGAAACUAAUUAAGCGUUAGUUCACAAAUUUAUUAAUAAAGAAAAAAAAAAAAAAACAGUCAGUGCUUUAGCGUACUCUCGUUUCAGGUCUGGUGUAUCGUCACUAUCAACCUCAUCAUUAGUCCUAGACCUUUUCGAAACUUCAUCUUUUACAUUAUCACUGGCUAUAACUGAUGGUGGUUGACGCAUAUCAGCAAGCUCAGUUUGUUGAGGUGUCUGGCUAAGUGCAAUGGAGGUUUUAUCUUCAAGUACCGAGGCAAUGAAAUACAUCAAAGAACUGUAUAUAACCAAAACAAGAUAUGAGUUACACAGUUUCUUUCUUACCUUGAGAAUUUCCAGAAGCAUGUUCACCUAAUUUUUCUUCAACCAUGGUAACGACUCCAACAGGAACUGGAAUAUGAGGUUGAGGUUUAGGAUGAUCGUGCUGACCAAAGUAAACAGUGUCUGUGAUUUUCCCAUCAUGAGUACGCUCCAGUUGUUUUUUCACCAUGCAAGUAGGAUGCGUACAUCUGUAAUAGCUUCUAACAAAGACAUUGCCCUUAACCAGUUUCUGACCAUAUUUCCGCCAGUUAAAUCCAUCCUCUGAUACUUUCUCUCGUAUACUGGAGGUAAUACAUACUUUCAAAACAGAUAGGGGAUUCUGUUCUGCAGUAAUUGGCUUAUGGGUCACUUUCUCAGUCACUAUACUAGAGAUUUCUCCUCGAUCCACUAGUGCUAUUGUAACCUCAGGCUGCUUGACAGCUUCUUCAAGUGUAUUACUGGAAGCCCCUGUGCAUUUGUGAUCUGAUUUCGAUGCAUUAGUUCCACCAGGAUCGUCCUGAGACGCUUGCGGUUGACUAUCUGAACUGUUUUCAUGAUCCAAUUGAUCGGAAUCAACUUCAUUCUCUAACUGGUCCCCGUCCCCUGUAGAAACCAUAUGCACAAGUACUGAACUUAGAUCAUAAACCAGAGAGCUCUAAAGAACUCUUAUUCUCCACAAUUUGAUUGACACAGAAACUGGAUCCCACGUCACGUCUAGCUGUAUACUGAAUCCUGGUAAGAAAUGCAACAAAAUGGAAAAUUGCUAAAAGUCAUUUUGGACUACCUCCAUAUAAUCAAAAUUCAAGAGGCCAGAUAUCAAACAAACAAUUUAUUAAUAUUAUUCGAGAAUGAUCGUGUCAUUGUGUGCGUAGACAAUUUACUUCAAACUUCAUAGUCAUGGUCAUAAAGAAAACGUGAAGAUUUCAUGCAUACUCAGCAUCCCCAAAUUCAUGCAUUAUAUAACCCCAAGCUGUUUCUAAUAUGAAAAUGUGUUUGUACGCAUGAAAAGUGGAAAUUUCAGUUUAGCCCAAGAACCCCCCCUCCCCAAAAAAAAAAAAUGGAAACUAGAGUGUCAGAGUUGAUUCAGACUACUAUAAUUUACAAUAUAGAAGAAGGAUUGACUUCGAAAAUAUACCGUACUAAAAUCAAAAUAUUGAACAUUUAAAAGUUUCGGGAAGUGGGAUAAGAUAUAUAUUAUUCAAUACAUGGAAAUAAUCUUCAUUCUCAAUUAAUAACCAAAAUUUUUUAAUAGAAAAAAGAAUAGACAUGGAAAUCGAAUUCAGUGCACAAUAAUCCACCACUUGCACACCAUCCGAUGAAAUCUUCGAGGCGAACAAAGAAACAAUGGUGUUCAAAGUAAAACUCUCACUCCAACUAAAGCUUAUAAAGAGAAGAAAAAGAAUUAGCUACUAAUUUCAUCCAAAACAUACGGACCAAGUAGGCUCAGCUUGAGCUGAGUAACUAGAUUCUCCGGCUCCAGUACGGAUCAAAAUAAUUAAGAUCCAAAUCACAAAACUCCGCCUUCAAUUUCAGAAACAAGAGAAAAAUAUCCACAUACUUAUCUGUUAUCUCCCUCCCCCCAAAAAAAAAAUUUACAACAAUAAUAUUGAGUUAGACAUGAGAAAGGGAAAAAAGCUCUACCUCCGGUUCAGUGCCAAAGGCUUGGAGUUUGAAGCCCUAGAAAAUCACAAAGGUGUAGUAAUUUGAGGUGGAAGCACAGAAUUCCGCUAGAAAUCAAUCACAGCCGUCAAAUACAAGUCCGGGUUCGGAAUUGGAGCAGGCGAAUCAGAGGUGCAGAAGACGAGGGAAGUGGGUAAGGAGACAAAGAAAUUGAAGUCAAAUUGAAGCUCCGAUGAAGAAGAAAAGAGAGAAGAUACCGGGAAGAGGAAGAAGAAGAGGAGGAGGAAGAAGAAGAAGAAGAAGAUAGAGAGAGAAGGAAUUGAAAUGGUUAGAGUUGAGAAGCAGUGAUUGGUGCUCCGGCUCCGAUGAAGUUCCCGGUAAAGUUGAUAACAGCUAAGAGCAUAUUCUAAGGCCGUUGUUUGGUAACGCACAAGCUUCCGCUUCUUAAUGCCAUGGUUUAUAUAUUACUAAUUUAUUACCAUAUUAUGUAUUUUAAAGUUUAACUAACAAAAUUACUUACCAUAUUAUCAAUUUAUAAGUUCUAUUUACAUUUUUUUUUGUUUGCGUUUGUAGAAUAGCGAAAAAAAAAUAUUUUUUUAAAUUACAAAAAUAGUAAAUUUAAAAGUUAAUAAUUGUGCAUAAUAGUAUAUCACUAAUUAUUUGUCAUAUUUAUUAUAUUUACAAUAUACAUUAAAAUGUGUUAUGAGUUAUUUUUUUUAAAUAUUUUUGUCUUCUAAUGUUUUUUUCCUGUGUCGAUAGUUGUUAAAUUUUAAAAUGGUUCAAUUUGGAAUGAAAUGUCAUUGUUUUAAUAUCGUGAAAAAUAGAAAAAACUGAUAAAACAUUUAUAAUUUGUAAAGAAAUAAAUAUAAUAAUUUUUGCUUUUUUAUUAAUUUUUUUAAAAUAAUUUAUUUUCUUUAAAACAGCUGAAAAACUUUUUCUGAAAAUAUUGUUUGGUGGAUAUUUCAAGAACAAAUUAUAAAAAAGAAAAUUAAAAUUUUUUAAAAAGUAUAUAUUUGUUUUUUUUAUGGUUUUUAAGUAAGUUAAAGAGGUUUAUUGUUUAUGUUACGUUUACUUAUGUGAUAUUUAUGGUUUAUUUUUUUCUUUUAAGUUUGACUACUUCUUCUCCUAUGUAAUGAAAAUAUCAAUUCAUCUUUUAUAUUGAUAUCAAAUUGAUAAAAAUGAUGGAAAGAACAAUAUAUCGAAUGGUUGAAUCAUUAUAAUAUUGUUCAUAUGAGAUUUUUAGAUAAAUUUAAUUCAUAGAAUUUUUACAAUGUUUUUUUGUAUAGUAUUGUUGAUACAAUUUUUAAUAUUUGAUAAUUUGAUGUUUUCUAUCCAACAUUAAAAUUCAAUUUUUUUAUUAAUUCUUUCAUCUUCAGGAAUUUGGAAAUUUAAGACUAAUUUGAGUUCCAAUAUUUUGAAAUUCAAAAAGUUUUAGUCUUGGGUAGAUGAGAACUUUAAAGUUCUGAAAUCCUCUUGGUCUCAAUUUUUAAAUUUCCCUAACGUAAACACUUCUUUUUGUUUAUUCUCAGGUAAGGUAUCUAUCUACAGAGGAUUCUCGUGGGCUUGGAACCAAUUGCUUAUUGGGCUUAAAUUGUUUUGUUAGGCCCAAUCUAUUUAUGAUUUUCAUUAUGGACUCAAGUUUUUCCAGGUGAUAACGUAACAAAAUUUAAUUGAUCAAAAUUCUCCAUUAACAUUUGUCUCUUGAAUUACGUGCUUUAAGAUAGAAAAAAAUAGGAUAAUGGUAAAGGUAGUAAUUAAAUUUAAAAUAAUUAAAUAUAUAACAAUAUUUUAAAAAUAUUAUAAAUAUAACAGAAUCUGUAAAUAAAAAAAAUGUGGUAGAUCAUAUUACAAAUAUUGAUCUAUUUACCAUGAGAGUCUAUUAUUAUAUAAUUUAUUUUGAACUUUUUUGAAUUUAUUUACAAUAUAGUAAAAGGAGUUUGAUAUUUAAACUUUCACCUCAUCUAAUUACUAUAUAUAUUUAACUGCAAAAUAUCUUGGUUUUGCUUUUUUUUUUUUCUUUUUUUACUUUGUUUUGUUCUAUUGUAUGGUAAAUAAUAAAAUGGAUUUUGUACAUAUUUUCAAGAAAUUAUAUUAUAUUCUAUGAUGAGCCAACUAAUUUAUAAUGUCGCUUGUCUAUCAAUGAAAACAUAUGAGUAUCUAUUAUUGGUAAACAGUGAGAUUUUGUUAUACUCAUAAAUGUUUUCAACAAUUUUAUCUUUUAAAACAACUAAUCUCUAUAUAUAGGUUAUUUUAUGUAUUUAAUAAUUAUGAUUUCGGUAAUAUCUAAUUGGUUUUGUUUUAUUAUGAUCCCAACUUCAAUAGUUUUCAUCAUUAAACUUUGCCCAUUGACUGAUGAACUCUACCCUCCAACGUUUGUAAUGACUCCACUUGUUAAUUAGCCAUUGUCGAUGAUCAACUUUUGUAGCAAACGACAAUUAUCUUCCCUACAUGCUACAAUGAUCAUCUAGGUAAGUUAAAGUGUUUUUAAAUACAAAAUUGUAAUGAAUUAGUUUAUAGUGUUUACGGCUUAAUAGUCGUCUUAUAUGAUAGUUUAAACCCUCGUAAGUUUAUUUUUGGUUUUACCCAAAAGAUCUUAUAGGAUUGGUGAUAAUUGCUCUCCUUUAUAUGCUCAUGAAUCAUGGAAAUUGAUACAGGACUUUGAUUGCAUUUAUUUUGCACUAAUGUACAUGCACAAUAAACUCUAAACUCCAAUUUAACAUAAGAAGCACUAAAAAGCCUUAAAUCUUUUGAUGACUUACAAUUUUUGUCAAAUGAUAUACUCACGCAUUUCAUGAAAGUAUAGUAUAAAUUUGAGUUUUAAGAGUUCACAAGUCCCCAAACUUUGCAUUGUGGGCUCCAAAAGUUUACAACUCCUUAAACUUUAUAUUAUGGAUCUUAAAAGUUCACAACUUCACCUUUGUCCUAAACAUCCGGAGUCUUGUGUUUGGAUGCCUAAAAAUUAUAGUAUUGUUUGAUAACGAUUUAGUUUUCACUUGAUACCAAUUCAUUUUAAUUUGAUUGUUUUUAAAAUUUAUGUUUGUUUUCUCUCAAAUUUUCAAUUAGUUUAAAAUAACACUUGAAACUAGUAAAAAUCUAAAAUUGAAAACAAACUUUUAAGAAACACGUCUUCUAGUUUUCAAAAGUACUUUAUUUUAGGCAAAAUUAAUAAAAAUAUUUUAAAAUAUAGCAAAGUAUUGUAGUUUAUCUACGAUACAUUACAAUAGACAACAAUAUUUGCCUAUUUGUGUCAUGAUACACACAAAUGGUUGUCUAUCAUAAAUGAUUAAAAUUUUAAGUUUCAUAUGAAAGUAUUAAAGAAGGUACUUAGGUAGUCUCAAUAGUUAGGUUAUGGUGUGGAAAUAUGUGCAUUGAUCAUCAUUUGAUUUUUUUUUCUUUUUGAAAAUUAAGAUGGUGAAUACUACUUUUUUUUAAAAAAAAAAAAUCGAUUAAAGGUCUCCUAAAGUAUGUGCAAAUAGUUACUAAACAAACCAUGACAAAGUAUACGUUUUUUUUUAGAUAUACAAUUUUAUUAAAAUUAGUGGAUCCUAUAUAUAAAAACAUGAUUCUUCUACUAACAAGAGUUUUCAAAACAUUCACCAAAAUUUAAGAAAAAAAUCAAAGACGAAAAAAGAUACCUACACCUUAUCAACAGUUAAAAAAGGUUAAAAUUUGAAGAAAAAAAAAAAAGUAGUUUUUAAAUUUUUAUUUUUGUUUUAGAAUUAUAAAAAAUUAAAAUUGUUAGUCAUAAAUAAUUUCAAACUACUUUUAUUAACGCUCACAUUCAGGGUCUCGUUUAAUAUUAUGAACAGUCUAGGGAAUUACUGGAAAAUUUCAAAACUUUAGGGCCUUUCAGCAAUAAAAUAAAAUUUGUAAGACACGCGCGUGUAACAAAGUCGCACGUGUUGCAAACCAUUGGCCGUAUGAGUCGGUGAGAGCUUCAAGUUUUCGUUUCCUAAAUUAUUUUCCAAACCCUAGAGACGCCAUAAUUUCUUCUCAAUCUUCUUCAGAUUCCGAUCGGGAAUUUUCUCUUUCGAUUGAUUCAAUUUUCUUUUUAAAUCGGAAUUCGUUAAUCUAGCUUUUCAAUCAUGCUUCUUUCUCCGGGUCAUUCUCCCCGGCACAUCUCAUCACCGUCGCCAUCGACGGUUUCCGAGAACGCGAUCCAGACUCUUCAGAGUUCGUCUUCGAUUACUACGCCUCAGAGCUCCAGGAAACACCCCAAGGUUCUUGAUGAGGAUUCUUAUGUGGAAGCAAUUGAGAAGAUUAUCGAGCGUGAUUACUUUCCCGAUAUUUCGAAGCUCAGAGAUCGUCUUGAUUGGCUUGAAGCGAUUAAAAGUGCAGACCCGAUUUUAAUCCGAGAUGCGCAGUUGAAGAUAAUGGAGCGUCGUGGUCAGAAGGUUAAACGUUUGAACCCUGAUGGUAAGUCUCAAACACCUGGUUCCACUUUUAUGAGAAGCUUUACCCCUUUUGAUGAAUUUGAGGGCAAAACCCCGAAAACCCCCGGCUUCGGUGGAAGCGGAGUCGUCGGUGUAACGGAGGAGGGUGGUUCUGAUGGUAAGGUGGUGGAUGAGUCGCUGUCGCUUGAUGAGUUUUUUAGGCAAUAUACGAGCGAGGAUAAUUUUAGUUUUUCGAAAAUUCUGGAGAAAGAUAAUAGGAAGAGGAAGGAGAGAUACGCUUAUUUGACGGAGGGUGAAAAGGAUGACGUGAAGUCAAUUGAGGAUGUGAAGAGAGAUAGAAUAACUGAUGGUUAUGGGACUUCCGAUCAGCCGCCGAGUACCUUGGAAGGAUGGAAAUAUACUGCUAAAAAUUUGUUGAUGUAUCAUCCGUCGGAUAGAGGUGAGGCUCCAUUGACGGAGGAAGAAAGGGCUGUAAGAUUGAAGGGUCUAACCAAAGAAAUUAACCGAUCAAGCACUCGGUUCCAUGGUAAAUUGAUGGAUUCAAGGCCAAAAGACGAUGGAUCGGUUGAAGUGAUUUAUGCCCCUGUGGCUGGAACUACACCACAUCCUGUGCUGGAUAGAGAUGGGGAUAGAUUGAAGAAGUAUGAUUUGGAGGAUUUGAGGAAGACCCCAAAUCCAUUUUAUGUAGAAUCAGGUAAAAGGGCUGAGAAUGGCUACAGUUUUGUCCGAACACCGUCACCUGCACCUGGUGUAGAUGAAUCUCCAUUUAUUACAUGGGGUGAAAUUGAAGGAACGCCCUUGAGACUUGAUCCUGAGGAUACGCCUAUUGACAUUGGGGGUUCUGUUGAUGGACCACGUUAUAACAUUCCAUGUCCAGCUGCAAGAGACGAGAAGGCUCAUUCACUUUCAAGGGAGGCUGCAAGAAAGCUAAGGGAGAAAUCAAAGAUGUUUCAGAAGCCUCCAUUGCCAUCACCUGUUAGAGGGGGAAGUGCUAGCCCAAGUGUAAAGAGGACUCUCUCUCCGGCCGCCCAGAAGUUUGUUAGGAACGCAAUAGCCAAGUCGUCAUCGUCAUUUGAUGAGACCCUUCGUGCCAGUUACAGAGGUGGAAGCCCGAGUGCCGCCACACCAAAAAGCGGGAGGAGUUUGUCUAGGUUUGCAAGGGAUGGUAGCUUUGGCUCUAGGUCACCUUCUGUUAAAGAAGGUUCAAAUCCUGCUUGGUGAUGUAAUUUGUCCAAUCGAUAUAGCAUAAGUGCUUUAUGUAUUCUAACAAUUCUGUCUUGAAAACCCUUCGUAGUAUCUCUUUUGUUUUACAAGGUGUACAAUGUCAAUGUAAAGAGCUCGCUAAUAUCCUUAUUUUGGAUAUUUGAAAACUAAUGAACGACCCAUUUGAUUGAUUGUUCUGGAAUCAUAAAAUGUGGCUCUUAUUUCUCCCUCUUCUGUGUUUAAUUUCUGUAUAGCGUAAAAGUUGAUUUGAUGAAUUUCGAGCUUUCAAUUACUAAGAAAGGGGUCUCAAGCUUUUGAUUUCACAUUGCACUGGAAUGGGAGUUUCAUUGUUCAAGAAACGUGAAUUGUAUAGUUAAGUGCAAGUAGUUUUCUAUUGAAGAUCGUUGAACAAACACGAAGUACGAUUAGUAAAAUAGUUAUUGCCUGUAGGCUCAAAUUGUAUUAUAUAUUUCUGUGGCUUCUUUUCUCUAAUUUUCUAUUCAAGGCUUAAUGGAUGACAGGAAGAGUCUUGCCUUUGAAGUCAUAACAGGUAGCGUAAAAGGAAUAGUUGAUUAUUAAAGAAGCUGUACAGUAUUUCACUCUGCAGUGAACUUAACAAAAGUAAGUUUUGGGAUUGAGGAAAAUGCUGCAAGGAAGCAAGGGUGGGGCCGCUCUUUUUCCAAAGCAUUUUCUCAAGCUUUCAGAAGCCGUGCCGUCUUGGGUGUAUUGGCCUUUGAAACGUGACUUCUUCCAUAAUUCAACUCUUUCUCAUUAUUGUUUAAUCUCUUUUACUAAUUUUCCCGAUUCUUUUUUCCAGGUAUUUGUUCCCUGUCAAAUCUCAUUCACCUGCUCAAAUGGGAAAAAAAUUAUAAUAUAUGAACGGAUACAAAGGGAUAGGGACGAGUAGAACCCAAAAAUAUGGUUCACAUGACAAGGGAAAGAGGGAGAAAGCCAACCUUAUUAUAUUGGCCGAGGUGUUUUACAAGUUCAAGAAUUCAACUUUUCAGCAACCGAGAACGUUUUUGAAGCCUUAAAAUAUGGGGUAUGGAGAUUACACUCGUGUGGAUUUGACUUUUAACUUUGAAGGAAUAAAAACUGCACGAAUGUAUGUGGACAGACUUACAUUUUUCCCUCUUUUCUCUCAUCCAUUUUCCUAAUUUAACACCGGGUAAUGGAUUCUAGAAUCUUUGGUUGUACUUAUUUCUUCGAUUCCUGAGAUGGCGCCUUUCAUUUAUGGCCAUAAGAAGGCAUAACGUUGUUCACUAUCAGCAUUUGCUUUAGUUCAAAGAAUCCCCAACUCACUUAGCUAUUUGAAACUUUCAUAAAUUCUGGUUUGGAGGUCCUUUAGGAGUUCUGUUGAUGGCAGUAAUUAGCCCCAAAAUCAGCUCAGUGGCUUCUAGUCCUUUCACUUCACCGAAUAUUGGGGUUUUGCUCAAGAUCAAGAUUAUUUCAUGGUUGGUUUCACUGUUUUUAAGAUUAUAUUGCUUCAUCUAUGAUUUUGCCUUGAUUUCUGAUUAAGUAGAUUAUGUCUCAGGAGCCAAGAAACUGGUCUGCCUGUUUCUGUUCGGAUUCGAGUUGGUGAUCGGAUCUUCCACCUCCACAAGGUAAAGAUGAUCUCGGAAAUAUAUCAGUGUAUCCUAUUCUCUUCUUUCUUUUUUCCCCCUCUAAAUAUCCAACAUUUCUCUUCAUAUUCAACUAUGAGAAUAUUAAAUUUUUACCAUGUUUGUUGUCACUCUGCAGCAUCCUCUCCUAUCAAAGAGUGGAUACUUCCAGAAGAGAUUGAAUGAAUCGACCGAGUAUGAGCUUCCACCAAACUUUCCUGGAGGACCUGAAACCUUUGAGUUACUUGCACUGUUCAUCUAUGGCUCCUCUACUCUAGUUGAUCCUUUUAACGUAGCAGCCCUCCGAUGCGCUGCAGAAUUUCUUGAAAUGACAGAUGAUUACUGUUCCAGUAACCUAUGCGAACGAUUCGAUAUCUAUUUGAAUCAAGUGGUUUUCCAAAGCUGGGACGAUACACUAAUUGUACUCCAAAAGUGUCAACAAUUGCUUCCUUGGUCCGAGGAGCUGUUAAUUGUAAGCCGUUGCAUUGAAUCGCUUGCCUUCAUGGCUUGCAUGGAGAUCCUUGACCCCGAGAGAAGACGAGACCAACCAGUUGUAACAAUGGAUGCAUUGGCCAGUCAGGUUUGGAGCUGUGAAAUCGUGAAAGAAAUCUUGUGCCAAGAUCUUUGGAUCAAGGACCUCAUUGCUCUGCCAUUUGAAUUCUUCAAAAGAGUAGUGGGAUCCCUGAGAAGACAAGGUAUGAAAGAAAAAUAUGUCAGCCCCAUCAUCGUUUUCUACGCAAACAAAUGGAUUCUUUCCGAAAAAAUGCGCCAAUUCUGGGAGAGUACUGAUGAGAAGAUUGUAGAUGAUGAAGCAAAUGAAAAGGUUUCAUAUAUUUUGCAAGGUCUCCUUGAUCUUCUACCUAUGGGACAUAGAACUAGUAGAGUGGUUCCUGUAGGCUUUUACUUUGCAUUGCUUUCAAAAUCACUUGAAAUUGGCCUGAAAAGUAACAGCCUACAAAAACUGCAAGACCAGAUAGCAUCAGUAUUACAUUUUGCCCAAGUGGAAGACUUUCUUCUACCGAAAACAGGGGCAGACUCGGUUUCUUCCAGCAUCGAGUUAGCUACUAUGGAGAAGAUACUAGAGUUAUUUGUAUCUUCUAACAUGAAGAUGAAUCACAACCAUUCAGGAAGCAACUCAAUUGUGGCAGAGUUGUGGGAUGAAUAUCUAACCUAUAUAGCUCCUGAUCCAAAACUCGAUCAGAAACGAUUUGUGGAACUCAUUGAAAAAGUGCCUGGGGCGUGGCGAGAGAAUCACAAUCACCUUUAUAGGGCAGUAAAUACAUUCCUGCAGGUAAAUCUCGAUGAAACUCUAUAUUCUUCAUGACGUAACUCUUUAAUAAUCUGUUUUUCUUUUCUUGAAACGCCAUUCCAAAUGAGGUUUAGACCUAUUUACUCAGCUGUAUAGACCAAUAAACAAGAUUCUAAAGCAUUGAUUUUGUCAAUUACUACAGUACAAAUGGGUCAAACAAAUUUGUUCUAUUUUGGAAAAUGCCAAGGCUCUACCAGCUCCUUAACUGUGAAAGAUUUGGUCUCUAUCUUUUGUUCUUCAGGCACAGUCGCAACUUUCCCAAGAGGACAAAUGGGCAGUAUGCAAGUACCUCAACUGCCAGAAGCUAUCACAAGAGGCGUGCAUUGAGGCUGUUCAAAAUGAGUUGAUGCCCCUUCGUUUGAUAGUCCAGGCGCUUUUCGUUCAGCAAUUGAAUACCCAACAGGUAUUCAAGGAGUGUUCAAGCUCAUUUAGGUUUGCACGUUAUGGCGAAUUCUCAGGAAGCAUUUCAAGCUCUAGAUUUCCGAACUCAAACAGCCAGAAUCUACGAGACAGUCCUUAUACAGAUGGAGCUGAUCCAAACAGAAGAACCUUAAGCUUCUUGCUACAGAAAGACCAUGUGAUCCAGACACAUGAAUCCUCUAGAAAUGAAUACGAGUCGACGAGUUUCCGAAUCCAGAAUCUGGAACAAGAGCUGAUUGCCUUGAAGAAAAGCAUUCAAUGGCAGACGUUGUCCAAGAAAACGGAGAUGUUGUCGAGCAGCAAAGCAGAAGGAAGAACAAAACUGCCUGAUGUCGAAAGUAGAUACUCGAACAAGAAAAGGAACUCACACGAACAGGUAACGGGGUGCAUCGGCUCUGUUAACUUUUCUGCUCAACGAAACUAUGCAAGUCGUCUAUUUAAGAUCUUCAGCGGAAUACGUCUAUUUGGAAGUAGGAAACAAAAAAGAAAGUCGGGAUUUCCGGCCCUUUGGCGCAGAUCGAUGUAUCAGAUUAACCAUAGGCUGGAUUUGUAAAUAAAAACUCAGAACAGUUCCUUUAUGGAGAAUGUAUAAUCAAUCUCUUGUAACCUCAAGUAUGUUAAGGAGCAAAGGAAAUAGCCAUUUAUUAUGAACUUCGACUGCAUGUUUGCUUUUUUACCAUUGCAUGCACAAAUUAGUACAAAGUUGUGGCAGCAUUCAUUCAAAUUACACCAGUUUUAUGUUCCUAACAAAACGUUAACAAAUGAAGUCAUCUACUUUAUAUAUGAUACCCAUCUUUUAGAUGUCAUAAACAGCUACGGAUCUAUUAAAGAGUUUAAGAACACGUAUCAGACACUUGUUAGUGCAACAAAUAUAUUAGACAUGCAUUUACUUUGAUAAGUCAUAUAUUUUUAGAAAAGUAUUUCAUUAUCAUGUCUAUCUAAAUUUAUAAAAUAUUUGAUUUGUUGCACUAAAUUCAAUUGGGUCUACAAUUUAAAAUUGCUAAUUUAAAUUUUAUUUAAUUUAAAUGUAAUGUAAAAAUAAUUGAGAUUAAAAUUUGUCUGAGCCCGGGUUCGAACCGGGGACCUCUAGUGUGUGAGACUAGCGUGAUAACCAACUACACCACCCAGACGUCAUAUUAACAAAAAGUUUAUUUUAAUUUAAUAUUUAGUUUUUAUUAUAUCAAGGAAAAUUGUUUUAACUGAAACAUCUGCUAAAAAUUAAUAAUCGUCGCCUGAGAGAUUCGAACUCUCGCGGGGAAACCCCAUGUACUUAGCAGGCACACGCCUUAACCACUCGGCCAAAGCGACAAUUGGUGAACACCAAAAUGAACUUUUUGAUCAUAAAUAAUAAGCAUUAUUGUGAAUCAAACAAAAACUACUUUUGUGAAAAAAAAAAUUAUUUUCAACCAAUAAUAUAUAGAUAAUUUUAAAUAGAAAAUUGCUGAAAAUAUUUUUUUAAAAAAAGUACAUAUUUAGAUUAUAUUAAUUAUAGAAAUUAUUGAUAAAAAUCUAUUAAUAUUUAUGAUUGUGUUUAUUAUAUAUAUAAUCUAAAUUUUUACUAUAUUUUGGUUUUUUUUCCUACUUCUGAAAUGUACGUAUGUUGUAGCAAAAAAAAAUUAAAAGAUAAAAAUAUUUAGUAAGUUUUCUUUUAUUAUUAUCAAAUAUUGGUAUAUUUUAUUGAUGCAAAAUCUUCAUUUUGGAAAAUGGUAAAAAAAAGAAAUUUUUACAAAAUAUUCAUAUUUCGUACAAAAAUUAAGUAUAAUGAAUUUAGUGUUUGUUUUAUUAUAUGGACAAAAAGAUUUACUUUGGUUUCUAAUAAUAAAUAUUCAAAUUAAUUGAUAACAAGGAGGUAAAUUUAUAAUUCUUCAUCUAAUUUUUUUUAGAACCAAAAUUGUUCACGAGAAACUCUUUUUUUUACCAAGGUAUUGUAAUAAAGGUUGGGAUAGAGAUUUGAAUCUAACCUCUUGUCCACAGAAAUACAUAGGUGUCAGUUGAACUAAGCUCAUGACAAAAUUCUUUAUUUGAAAAUAUUUUACAAUUUAAAAUAAUUUCUCAAUUUUUUUUAAAAAAAUUAGUAACUUUUCAUUAUUUUCUUUUGAUUAACCUUUCUUUCUCAACCAACUUCAUAAAGUAUUCAACCCAAAUUAUAAUGUUAUUCAAAUUUGACUAACGAAAAAUAAUUGUUCCAUGUCAACACUUCAUUUACUUCAAACCUUACCCUUACAACAGAUAGGUAUAGAAAAUUGUUUAAUACAAUGAACUAAAGUCACGCUUAUGACGUAAUCUUAGUUGAUUUCAAUUGAACUAUAAAUUGAAAUGACCCUUAAUAGUAAAUCAAUGUGAUUUUGAUUGGUAGUGUUUACUCAUCUAAUUUUUCAAAAGUAAUAUGAUUCUGAUUCAUUAUGUUUAUUUGACAUCAUAAAUUUAAAGGUGGAAUGAAAAUGAGUAAAUUGCUCUCAUAAUGUCAUUUCGGAUGGACUUCAUCAAACACGCCCAUUCACCAACAUUUUCAAAACAAAUUUUCAACUGUUUUAGACUACUCUUAUUUCUGUGCGAUUCAACUUGUAGUUUUUAUUGUCCAACGUGCAUCAACCAUUUGUUCAUUGUUCUUUAUGCAAGUGUAAUAUAUUCUUCCAUUAACUUUGAUUUUUUACUUCGUUUCAUAUCGUAAUCGUCGUCAAUUACUUAUUCAUACAUCUUCAAUUAGGGACUUUGAAGAAUGUAUACAUCUCGAUAAUUUAUUUGAAACUUGAACUUGCAUAUUACUGUCGAUACUUUUCAAGUAUAUUAACAAGUUAUAAUUAAUUUUGUCACAAUAGUUUAUUUAGUAUUCCUUUGAUUCAUGAGUACUAAUGUCAAAACUAUAUGAUGUAUUAUAUGUUCAAAUCAUACUUAUCAAGUUAGAAAUCAAAUCUUCUUAUCGACUAUCAAUAUGAAUGUGUGUUUUACUGACGAUCAUGUUGAUUAGGUCAUCUAAAUGUAAGUCGUUAAAUUGAAGGUGAUAAGUGAAUAUAUUGACACCGAUUUAUCGAUAAUAGUAAAACUAUAACAUAAUUAAAUGUACCAAUGGAUACUUAUAUCAAUUUCACGUCAAGCUAACAUGUAUUUAAAAAAAGUUACACAAACUUAGAUUAAAAAUAACAUAAAACAUACCAUAAUAAAUGAAUUUAUUAGACCGAGAAUUGAAUAGAUUAGAAAUUUGUAGAUAAUUGAAAGCUCAAAACUUAAUAAUUAUAAUAUUAAAAAUUGAGGGACUAAUAGUUUAAAAAGAAAAGAAAAUAUUUUAGAGAUCAAUAUUCUAAGUAUUGAAUUUUUAACGUCUAAGAUAAGUUCACAAGUCACUAAUUCGUAAUGGGAGUGAAGGACACCUAAAUUUCAUCUCAUACCUAAACAUUAUUCAAUUCACCUUUUCGUUUCUUUUUUAAAUUCGAUAUAUAUAUAUAUAUUUCUUAUCUUGACAAAUAAAAAUGAAAAGAAAAAAAAAGCAAAGCAAAUGAAUCAUAAUCUCUAUAUGUCAUCUUCUUCUUCAUCUUCAUUUCUAGUUAUGGCUUCCACUGUCCUUCUCAGCAACUCCGAUCAAUCCUUCUCUUCUCAUCUUCUCCUCUUGCGAUUUUCUACAAAAUACCACCCAUGAAUUCACCUCCAAGCUCACGCAAAUCCCUACCAGCGUCGAAAGCCCUAAGCAAUACGCUAAUUUCGCGUACGAUCCACUCGCCCCCAUCGCCUCAAAUCCUUGGAACACAUUCACCGCUCCCAUCACCACACAUGCGUAUCCCACGAAAUGAUGGUAUGAUUUCCAAUACUUUCUGAAUUUGUUCGUCGUUUUCGGCCUGAAUAGCAGCGCCAAUGUCUGUAUUCCCCCCAGGGCAAAAACCCCAAUCCCUAGUUUUCUAUGUAGCGAAUACUCCACUCCUGGUGAAAGCUCUCCCAAUCGGAUUCCAAUCACGAAUCCGAUUGUUCCUAGAGCGAAUCCAGCUAGUUGGACUCCUGCGUGCGCGUAGAACCACGCCGGGCCUAGGGUUUGUACGUGUCGGAGGUAUCGCGCUGUUACUGCGCCGAUCGGGAGUAGUAGUCCCCAUGAUAUGGCGUUCAGGAUGCCGUGGAUUACUUUGAGUGUUUCGAUGUCGUUGGUUUGGCUUGCGGCGGUGCCUGAGGCCACGUCGAGAGUUGCAAUUGAAGAGAGGUCGUCGGAUGUGGUUGGAUGGAUGGUUGGGGAAUAGCCUUGGACGUAUAAUCCGCGGUUCCAUAUGAGAUGGAUUUUCGUUUUGUUUGGGAUGAGUUUGAGAGUAGCGUAGAUUUGGAUGGCGGCGCCGUUGUGUACGGUGGCCAUUUUCCCACCGUACAAAGCUGCGGAGGAGGAAAGUAGACGGAUGUCGAGAGGGCGAGAGAGAAGAGGGGUUCUCUGUAACUUUACAGUCGGGUCAAGAACGUAAGGGAGGACAACGAUUUGGCCGGAGUUUGGAUCGGAGAAGGCGAUGAGAACACGAGCUCCGGUCAUCCCCGGUGACGUGGGAUUGAUUCCCCAGCCGACCCAACCGGAGGGAGAAAUGAAAUUGCCGAAGAAGACAAGGUCCAAAGUGGCAUUGUGAAGGUGAAAAGUCCAAGCAAUGGAGGCUUGUUGGGUUGGGAGAUUCAUACAUUGCUGGAAGGUUUUGAUGGCGGUGACGGUGGUGCAAUGGGCGGCGAGUGCGACGGAGAUGGAGGAAAAGAGGAGGAGAAGGAGGAGAUGAGGACGGAGCAUGGUGGCCGGAGGUGAAGGAAUGAGAGAAUGGUAGGUGAAGUGAAGGGGGUAAUGAAGUAAAGUGGUAGAAGAAGAAGUGGAGAUUAUGAGUAUGAUAAUGUUGGUAAAUGUAAUGAUGUAUUUGGAAUUUGAGCAAUUUAGAAGCAUUGAAGGAUGAAAGUGAUGGAACAUCAUUAUGUCCACUUAGCUAAUACUUUAGGGAAAUUUGCUUUGAAGACAAGUAACCCUUCAUUACUAUGGUUUAGUAGGUAAUUAACACUCUAUUUUCCACUUUCAUAGUUGGGUUAAUCUUAUAUAUGAUGUCUUCGAUCUAAUUUCCUUUAAAUGUAAAAGGUUAAGCUAUGUUUUCAAUAGCCAAAUUGAGCCUAACGAAUUGCCAUUAUGUUUUCCAUCUUUAAAAUGUUUAAUACUGAAUAGCAUCAUUAUGAAUAACUUGUAUUUAUCUAUAGCAACAACAAUAUGCAAAAGCAGAGAAAUGCUAAUUUCACUUAAGGAAUGAAAUGCAAAAGUGACAAAUACCCCAUGUUUGAAAAACGACGUCCAAAACGGUUCACAGACUGAACAUCUUUCUCUUCUUUACCGGAUCAGUUUUCUUCUUCAGAGAUAACAAGCAAAAACUUGUUGAUUGAUAUGUGAGAAUUUUUUUCAGCUACCAUCAAAAUUCGUAUGAAUGAAAGGUUGAUUUUUCAAAUUUCAUUUACCUUUCACAAUACAUACAAAGUUCAUUACAUUAACGAAUUGUUUCAUUAUGUAUAGCAUGAACAAAAUCACUCACAAACCUCUCUCACACAUAUAUAUACUGCCUAGUAUAUGGAGUUUAUUUUAAAACAAAAACAACUCUAAUUUAUUUUACAUAUAUCUUUAUUUUUAUUUUGUAAUCUAAAAGUCUUUUAACUUAAGAAAAAAUAAAUUAAUCAAGACAAGCAUUUAACUCAACUUAUAUAUAAGCAUGUUAUUGACCAUAAAAUUUGUGGUUAGAAUAUGAUACUAUCAAAUGAGAGAGAAGGUGGAGAAUGUGACGAGGGGAGCAAAUGUGGAAGAGGUUGGGGUUAUGAAAGUUAUGAGUUGGUAUAUGGAAUUUUAAGGAAUUUAGAAGAAUUGUGGUGGUGAAAAUGAUGGAUCAUUAGUAUUCCCUCUAAACUAAAGGAUAUUUGCUUUGAGGAUAAGUUACACCUAAUUGGUAUAUGGACUUUCAUUUUUUUUCAAAUCUUGGAUUAAACCUAAGUUUCCAAUUUAAAAUAAUGAUGUCUUUGAUCUUCUUUAGUUUAAAUGUAAGGUUAAAGCUACAUUUUAAGCACUCAAUCUCAAAUUUUAAGUUCAAAUUUGUCUCUCCCAAAAAGAAGAAUAUCAAAUUGGUGUCUAAUUUGUUGUUAAGGCGAUUGAUAUUAUCAAAAGCUAUUGUUUUGACUAUUUAUCGUAACAUAAAAUUAACUUAAUGUUUAUCAUAAGUUUAUCAUUUUUAAACUAUUAAAAGUUAUAAGUCUCAAAUAAAAGAAAUAGUUAAGUUGGUAUGAGAUGGAGAUAGUUAAGAAUGUAACAAAUGGAUUAAAAAUAUUAACAAAUAUAAGGAUGAAACUAAAUCUAUAGGAAUCCCUAAAUCCUCAAAGUUAAUGUUAAUGUCAAUGGCGUGUUUUCGUAGAUGAACCCCAAGUUAAUUGAGCCCACUCUAAUGGAGCGACAGAUGUUGGUGGGCUUCUCUUGGAAAUGGCAGUUGGGCUUCCUCUCCGCCGUCUUUGCUAUUGCUUUCUUUCCUCCUCAAAUGAAUAGUGUCGUCAUGAAUUCAUUCCAGGAAAGUCUUCUGAUACACACUGGUUGUGAGUCCCAGUGGGAUGGGAGAGAUGAAGAAAAAUGGGGUGAGUUUAGAAGGGGAAAGGGUAAUUUUGGUGCCUUACAUGGAAGAGCAUGUACCCAAGUAUCAUCAAUGGAUGAAAGACCCAGCUCUUCUUCAAGCCACAGGCUCCGAACCCCUCACUCUUGAUCAAGAGUACCAGAUGCAACAAUCAUGGACCCAAGACCCAAAAAGUACUUCAUUAUCUUCAUUUGUUUGUUUCCUCUCUCAAUUUCAUCAAAUUUUUAUCUCGGCUGUUUUUCAAAUUCUUGAUAUUGAACAAAAUAAUGUUCCGUUUGUUUUCGCAAUGCAUUUUAACAUCGUGUGGAUUUGGGGGUGGCUUUUUCAGAGCAGACUUUCAUUGUAUUGGAUAAGGAAUUGGUUGAGGGAAAAUUCAUCCAUGGAAAUUCUGGUGUUGAAGGUUAGUUCUUUGGUCUUUAGUUUAACUGAUAAUUUUUGGGCUGGGGGGUUGCUUUGUUUAUACGCUUUGUUUCUAUAUUUCCAGCAAUGGUUGGUGACGUGAAUCUUUACAUGAAUGAUCUGGAUGAUUCUCUUUUAGCAGAGAUCGAAAUAAUGAUAGCUGAAUUCAAGAGGUACCAGAUUUAAUCUUUUUGUCAUGUGAUGUUUUUGUUCCUUGAUUGCUCUAAUGUUUACGGUAAUGCUUUUUGAUCUCUAAUUUUCUUCAAUGAUUGUGGUUUGUGAAGUUCUGUCAAUAUAAACAGCCAUUUAUGCUCUGCCUAAUUCUAUGUCAUGGUUCUCUUCAUAGUGUCUUGUUUAUUGGUUAUUGCUUCUUCUAUAAGAAAAUUUCUACGUUUUGUGUUGUUCUGGCUGAUUAAAAGCAAUGAAGUACCAAAUUAUGGAAAGCAACGAAGUGUUCUUUUAAUUGAGUCAAGAUAAGAAGGAAAUAGAAUGCUUGAAUGAAUCUUCGAAUGUGCAUGUAUUGGUAACCAUUCUAUUUCUCCAAUCUGAGUAUAGCUCACUACUUGAGGCAUAUGCUCAACCAAGAAUCUGACGUUUGAAUCCCCAUACCCACACGUUGAACUAAAAAAAAAAGUCCCUUUUUCCUUGCAAUGUGUUGGGUUGAUUCUUGGCCAUGUAUGUGGAUUAUAUUGUGACGAGAUUUUGUUCUUCAUUUGCUAGUUUCGUAUACUUUUUGGGAUCAAUGUUUUACGACGUCCACUAAACUUCCUACAUCUAUGUUUUUGUUAGCAUAGCCGUGGUAAAGGACUUGGGAAAGAAUCUGUCCUAAUGAUGAUGGCAUUUGCAGUCAAGAACCUCGGGAUCCAUACUUUCCGGGUUAAAAUUGGAGACUCGAAUGAAGGGUCUCUCAGUUUGUUCAAAAAAUUGGUUGGUCUCUCUGUCCAGAAAAGAACUUAUUUUUUGAAAUAACAUUUAUGUCUUAUUUCUAGUAGCUAAAAUUUCCGUUCGUUGGAUACAAAAGAAUCCGCACCAAUCCAAGUCGGCAUGUUUUGAUAUUGCCAACAAAUUCACAUUUCCUCUUAAAAAUUGAUAUUGCACUAUUGUUAGUUUUCUUUUUCCUUUUAAACUAGUCCUUCUGUAAUCUUCACUAAAAGACCCCUUUUAUUUGGUGUAGGGAUUUGAAGAGACUUCUUACAGUGAAAUCUUCAAGGAGGUGAGCUCUUUCUCUAUUUUCUUCCUAACUGAUAGGCCGCUCCCAAGACGAAUCUAUCUAAAACCAUGUGACCUAUGCUUCAGUUUAUUAUUCAAUUUAGUGACGUAUAACAACUUACACGAGUCUUUUAGGAUGUUGAAGAUAUGCAGAUAGCUAAAAGCAUGCUUACUAUUUAAUUUAAGGAAAACCUUACGUCUAGUUUGACUGUGAAAAGUUUAUUAAUAUGAGCUGAUGCGUCAAAAUCUAUUUGACUAAGAUGCAUAUGUGGAUCCUUUAGUUACAAUUUUCUUAAAAGAAAAGAAACCAAUUACCAUUACUGGUUGAUUGAUUGACUACACUUGACAAAUUUAUGCGUGUGUACAUAUACUAUAGUUGGUCUAAUAAUUGCGAGACAACCUUAUCACACGAACAAAUUAUUAGUUUUGUUCCAUUAUGGAAACACUUGAUGGCUCGGAAAUUUUUUCUUGUUCUUUUUCCAUGUACCCACUUUAGAGAGUUAUGCUUUUAGAUAUUAAGCCUGAGCUAAGUUAUCAUAUAAGUGGGCCAGGCCAUAUUUGAUUCUGACUUUAUUUACUUUUGCACAUUUGGAAGGUAACUCUGGAGUUAAAGGUAACAAAGUCCAAGCAUGAGGAGUUGCUUGAUGUGUUUGGCAGAAUAGUUACUUACGACUAGCGCUCAAUUGAACUUUCCUGCCGGUUCUAGAUCUUGAUUUUCUAACAUUAAAUGUGGGAAACUCCUGUGGAUUAUCUGAUAUUAUGUUCAAACAUCUGAUACUUGAGCAAGAAGCAAAUCGAUAUAAUACACAAGAAACCUUCUAUAAAAAAAGAUCAAAGUUAUGACUUAUUUACAAGACAUUCUUUCCCUGAUCACCUCAUCUAAUCGUCACACUUUCAUCAUGUUAUGUAUUUGUUUGUUUGCCUUUGUAUCUUUUGUGUUUCUGUAGGUUUUCAAGAUGCUUGGUUUGACCUUCUGAUGUGGACUUUCGGAGAUCAGUCUAGAAGGUCCAAAUCUCAUACCCCCCACCAAUUUUGGCAUCUUCAUAAAGACUUAAAUGGCACGGCAGGUAUGAAGUCUCUGUUUUAACAUUUUCUUUCAAAUGAUCUGUCUUUAGUUUCAGAGUAACAAUUAGAAUAUACCUGAAGUUAUUGAAAUUUCACGGUUUCGUCUACAUGAAACUGUUGACACGGGGCAGGGUAAUUGAUGUCGCUUUAAUAUUCAAAAUAUUUGCCGUUAUUUUGACAAAAAUUUACCCUGUCAAUUCAACAUAUUUUUAUUUUCCUUUGGUGUGAACUCAAUUGGUUCAAGACCAAUUCUUUGGAAUAAUCAACAUCCAAUCUCAUUACUUUAAAAGGCUUGAUUUUUUUACAUUUUGUAUCAACCCCAUUUGAUUAAUUGAACAUCAGAUCAGGAUUACCAAUAUACCAUAAGCACCCCCUUUGUUUGGUGAUGAGCAGAUCUAAAAAGUAGACUUGUUUAUAAGAACUCUUGAUUAUUUUAUGCAAAUUAUGAGUCAACAGGGAAGUAGUCCAAAAGAUUAGGCAGUUGGAUUAUGAAUCCAAACCAUGUUAAAGGGGGGAUAUAACAUGACUUCUUGGUGGUAGCUGCUCUAAAAAACCUAAAAAAAGGGGGAUGUUUUUGGUGGGUAUGAAUAUAAUUUUGAGUUCAAAAUGAUGGAUGAAGGAUUUAUUUAUUUAUCCUAUAUAUUUUUUUUUGAAAGGGAUGGUAUAAGGAUUUAGUUCCCUAAUUUUCCAAGAACAUUUUUUUUUUUGUUUGGACAUGAAAGUUUUCGGCAUGCAGAAAAGGCAUAGGUCCAAAAAGGCUGUGGAGGCUGAUUUGGGCAAUUUCCUAUCAUUUUCCACCACUGUGACCAAUCUCUCUUAGGCUUAGGUCAAUUAACUUUGAUGAUGAUGGAAGUACGAACGUAUGUAUAGAGAUGGUUGUAAAUAUAACAAUUAAGUUUGAGGUCUUUCUAAAUUUUUGUAUGGUACAACAAACAAGGUAUAAGAACUCGAACCUUGGAUCUCAAUAGAAGUAUUACACAGAAAUUACCACCAAAAAUUACCACCAAGUUAUGUUCCCUUUGAUAUAAUAAUGAUACGAUGUAUGACCUGAUAAAUAAUAGGAAAUAUCUAAGUUUUAAUGAUGGGAAAGAUGAAGAAUAGUAAAAUAUCCUUUGGGUUGAUUAAAUGAAUAAUAGAAGCAAAGAGACCAAGACAACAAAAGAAUAAAGUAAAUGGAGUGGUGGGUCUGCUCCAAAUGUAAAACAAUUAUUUGAGCACUUUAAAAGAUUGUUUAAUUGCAAUAUCAAUUUUAAAAUUGGGUUAGAUAGGAUGGGAGGCUCAAUAAAGAGGGAGCAGUUGGGUGUAUAAUAUUUGUAAAGUAUCAUUAUCAAACCUUAUUAUAAUAAGAUUUCAACCUUAUAAUUUAUAAUUUAAAUUAAUAAAAGCUUCCAAACAAUAUAGCCUUCAAUCAACUAUAUACAAUAAUCCUAAUAUGUGAUUUUGACUUUGAUUUGAGUUGCAUCAUUAUUUUUCAUGGAAGAAUUUUUCCUUUUUUUUAUUGCACAUCAUUUCCUCAUUUUUGUUUGUGUUCUUUUUCAUCUUUUCAAGUUUAGGUUAUAUAUAUAUAUAGUUGAUAAAUUUAUAUUUGGGUUACAAUUGAGUUUUUUUUUUUUUUUACUAAUUAGAAAUGUAAACUAUAAAUUUGAAGUUCAUAAAUAUUUGGAGACUUAAUAGGAGAUUUAUGACAAAACAAAUAUUGAUUUCAAAAAUAGAAAUUAAAUCAAAAUUGUACAUAAGUUAUUAGAUUUUAAAGAAAGAAAAUAUAUUUUUUCUUUUCUAAUCAUAACCAUUAGAAAGUUGUAGGUGAUUGAACUUUCAAUCCCUAAAAAGAAAAGUAAUGCAAAUAAAUGGAGUUCUAUUUUGUUAAAAGAUGGAUAAUUUUCGUUCAAUUUAUUAAUAUCUUUCAUUUUCAACUACAUGACCUUAACGUUUCACAACCCAUACCUUAACGUUUCACAACCUAUUUUUAUGUGAUGUAAGAAAAUUUAAUAUUUAUUAUUGAUAAAGCUUUAUUAAAUUAAAUUAAUAUGCAAAGAGGAUUAAUGCUUAAAAUAACACACGUGUGGGAAAAAAAAAAACAUGGCGUUUUCAAUUGCGGAAUUUCAUGAAAUCUAAGCUAUAAAAUGUUUUCUUUCUUUCAAAAAGCACUUUUCAAUAUUCAAUUCAAGUUCAUUUUUUAUUAAAAGAAAAAAAAAGGAGAAAAUAUCUUUUUAUUUAUAUGUAUAAUUCUACAUGUUAUUUAGUGUUUAGAUUUCAAAAUUUCACAUGUUUAUUUUGAAUUUGAGUUUAAUCUCUAUUAAAUUUUAAAUAUUAGAUUUAUUAGAACAAAAGUGAUUAUAUAUAUGUAUAUAUAGUGUUGGGAUAAGCAACAAUAUAUAAGGGAAAUUGUUAGGAAUAAUACAAAAAAGAAUGGAACUUAUUAUAAAAUAUAACAAAAUUUUAAAAUGAACUAUAGAGAAUUAGAUGAAUUUUGUUAUUUUUUAAAAUAUCUAUAUAAUAUAUUAGAAGACUCAUGUAAAGUUGAAGUCUGUUGAAUCUAUACAUUUAGCAGCAAUUAGAAAUAUUAAUAUGAGAAAAGAAAUAAAAUAGUUAAAAAGGGUAUUCUAAAUAUGCAUUGAAAUUAAAGAAAAGGAAAUAAAAAAAUAAAAAAAAAAGUGAGGAAAAUAAGAAAAAGGAAAAGAGAGAGUGUGAACACUGAAUGAAACGACGUCGUUAGGAUGAGAGCAAAUGCGUUGUAGAAAGUUGAACGAAGCCAUCAACACAACACGUCUCAUACCUGCCUUUUAGUCAAAGUUGUACAAAAUCCCCAUUCUUUCUUUUAUUAAAAUUAAUUUCCUCAAUUUCAUAUAUAUAUAUAUAUAUAUAUUCAUUUUCCUAUAUUUGUAAUUAGUCAGAAAAAUAAAUGUUUAAUUUUAUUUCCCAAAUAAUUUUCAUUGUUCUUUUAAACUUCGAUUCCACUCUUUUUCUGUUAUAUUAUUUGCCAAGUCAACAAGUACUAUUCUUCCCUUUGCUUCCUUCACACAGCCUCACCUAAUACUAAUUUUAAAUCCUUUUUCCUUUUUCUAUUUUGUAAGAAAAGCAAAAUCAUAAAUAUUGGAAUUCCGUUCCAUUGAUUUUCAAAUACUUAUAAACACUUACAAAAUCAAUUCAAUUUUAUUUUUGUCAUUGGUUCCACAACCAUCUUUCUAUAAUAAUAGAAAGGAGAAAUGUCCUUGGAUAAAAUGAAAGACACUAUGUUUGGAAAUAUUAAUAUGAGGAAGAGAAUGAAGUCAAACCCAACACUUACUUAACGUACGUCAGAAAGUCAAUCCAAACAUGGAAAAAUGAUAAACUAAGUUCAUCGAUUGAUAACCUCUCCUAAAUAUAUGAAAUUUAGAUUCCAUUUAAGAUUAUAAAACUUGAAAUUGGAAUGUUGAAUCAAUUUGUUAUUUUAUUUACUCAACAUAUGGUGUUCAUCCUAAUUUUUAGAAAUUAUAAGCUCACGGACAAAAUGAAAACACUAUUCAAAGUCAACAUUCAAAUCUUAAUUUGAUUUUUCAACAUUUUGUUUGUACUACAACUAUUUUUUUCUAAUAAAGAAAACAAAAUAAACCAAGAACGAACUAGAUACAAUGAAAGUCCAUCGAAUAAAAUGGAGGACAUUAGAUUUAGAAACCAAUCACUACAAAACAAAUCUUCAAGUUUCUCGUUAGGGAUAAAAGAAGUCAAGCCUCUACCGGCACAACAACAUGAACAAAACCUUAUUGGACGAGGAGAAGAACAUCCUAAGCAACAUUCCACCUCUAAUAUAAAUCCGCACAAUCAACGAAUAGUAAAUCAUCGAAAUUGUUUCUAAAGCAUCUCAAAGUCUUCGAGAAUCGCCGAACCUUCAAAUUAGUCUGUUUAAUCAUUGUAUUAAUCAUGAAUGAAUUAUUAAUAUAGUUUUUCAUCUAUGAAACUAGUUAUAGAUUUGAAAUUCCCAUAAUACCAUUAGUCCAAAAGGGAAUCACAUAAUGGCCACAAAAAUGAAGAUUUGAAACCCAAAAGUUAACUAGAAAAGAAAAACAAAACAAAACAAUCAUAGAUCUAAUUCAAAGCCUAGAGUUAAUUAAAUGAAGUAAUGUGGGUAGGUAAAGGGAUGGGAAAGAUUAUUUUGAAAGAGAACACAAGACUGAAGGUGGGUGAUUUCUUUAAGAUUUUUUUAACAAUGGUGGAAGUUGGAAUAAGUCAACAUUUUCAAAGUAUUUUUGCCUUCUCUUUCUCUUUUAGGUGGCUCCUAUUCUAUAGAAAUAGAAAAAAAAGAAGAAGAAAAAAUCCCAAACCCAAGCAAGUUUUUUCUAGAAGAAUGGUUGAGAGAGUAGAAAAAUUAGGUUAACAAAUGUGAGUUGUUGAAUAUGGACAGAGACACAUGAAGCAACCAAGAAGAAACAAAGACUUUCCCAAACCCCAAAACAAAAACAAUACAAAUUCACAUAGUUGAAAAGAAACAUCCCUUCAUGAACACAAAUUUAUCAAACUUUCCCUUCAAUUAUACCCUAUAAAUACUCACUUUUUUCUUCCUUCUUUCUCCCCCAACCAAUAAUCCCCUAUUCCCUCCAUCUCAGAAACAACAUAUCAACAACAAAACUGAAAACAAUUACCUCAAAUCCAUUCAGUCCACCAUGGAAAUAAAGCUCCAAAGCUUUUUCUCUGUUUUGAUCCUCUUCUCUUUAUGCCUCUCAGCCUCAGCUCAAACUUGCAGAAGCUACAAUGGAUUUACCAACAAUGAAGUAUUUGCAGCUUGUGU